rnacentral:lncRNA from 1 species
GGCAGAAGUGUUUCCUAAAUGGGCCAUGGAAGGAAGAUCUGUGCCUCCUCCGCUUUAGUGCCUUCCUUGACCCCGCCUUCUCAGCACUGUAUUUCUUACAGUCUGCUUUGUGGUGUGUACGUGAGGGGACAGGGAGGGGGCAUCACAUUGGCUAAAUGUCAAAUCGAAUUCUGUGCCCCUGUUGGUGUCUGCAGAAAUUUUGCUUGGGCGGGCUCCACUCUGUGGAGGUUCUUCUGUCAUUUUUAAGCGGAGAACAGCAAAGAUGCAAAUCGCCCAGACUGCUCCAGGAGACAAAGCGACAAUUCAGGUGGGCAAGUGUGCAGGGAGGGAGGAGGGCAGAGGGUGCAGGGGCCAAGGGCUGCCUGACUUGAGGACACUUGUUCCUGGAGGAGGGCGGCGAAGCCAGCGCACAUUCUUUGGGUCCUUUCUUCCGCAUUUGGUAGCAGAUUUAUUAGGCUUCUUAAGGGAAUACUGGCCAGCCCUUCAGAGUGCCAGACUCCAGGCACCUUGGGAUUCUUCCCUUGCAGGAUCCCUUGAGGACUCUGAGAAUAGGCUCUUAGAUAUGCAGAGAUGAAUAACAUCUUUGCUGAAGGUGGCAGGAAUAGUACAUAGGACAUUACACAGGUAGCUAAAAAUUAUAAUUGCCUGGUGGCUCAAACAGCCUCUCCCCAUGUUCCUCCUCUGUCCCUCCCAGGCUCCGCCUCUUCCUGAACCUGACUGUGCUUCCUAAGAGAAAUUCCCCUGCCCCCAGGAUGCUCCGGAGUGCAGGCCCUGCCCUGCCCUGAGCUUGGCUGCUCCUUCACCUGACCUCAGACACAGGCCCUCUGCCGGGAGGAUUUUGAUUCUGGAAGAGGCAGAGCAUUGUGCUGUGUACCAAGAUCUGGGUUCUAGUCCCAGCCCUCAUGGAUGCUGUGACUCUGGGCAAAUCACUGUCCUCCUGGGGGCCUGGGUGACCUCUGCUGUAAAAUGAGGGGGCUGGACAAGGGGGUCAUCGAAGUCCACUCCCACUUUGAUAGUCUCAAACUCAGUGGCUCUAAUUGCCUCCUUAGAACUCCAGGGAAUGCCGUUCUAGCAAUUGUCCUCUGGCUCCUUUCUUCCCCACUCCCACUGGGCUCUGCCUCCAAGGAAACAAAAGCAGCUGCUGCCUCCGCUGGGGUUUCCUCUGAAUCUGUGGGCCCCUCCCCACAGCAUAUGUGCACAGGCCUUCGCUGUCUGUCUCUGUCUCUCUCUCUCUCUCUCUUUCUGAGGGCCGUGGAAGGCCAGUGGUGACCCUUUGGAGCCCGGCUCUUUUCUGCUGCUUUGGCUGGCAUAGACGGCCUCUAUCCCAGGUGAGAUUAAAGUUUCGCUUAUUCCCGCCCCACACCUGGAUUUAGCGAGGGCACUUUAUAAAUAACCAUGUGCGCGUUGUUGCUAUGAUUAAAGCGCUCAGAAUCCAAGAGAAAGCUGAACUAGCUCAGCUGCAAAUGCAGUGAGUGGAGGGAGGACGCUGAUCUCAUGUAACUGCACUGGGAGAAAAACAAAUUCAGGAAUUCCACAGCUGCCCUUUAGAGAUGGCCUCUCAACAGCCAGGAUAGCUUGUUUUGUGUAUUUUAAGAACUAGGCACAAAUGGAGUUGAUAGCAUGGUUUGAAAAUUAGCCAAAGGAGCUGGCUCGGUGAGUCUUCUACAGAAGUCCUAAUAAGUCUAGCAGCAUGCAGUGUUUCUUCUGGCCAAGAGGCUGGAGAUGUGGGUGAGCCUGGGAGAAGGUGGGGUCUAGUUAGAGACCAAAGAAACCAAUGAGCAGAUGAAUCCAGAGCAGCAGAGGUCUAAAAAUAGAGACUGAGGAGAGGGUCAAGAAAAUUUUGGGAGGUCUUCUCAAAUUGGGACUGGAGACUGUGGCCCCAGCAGACAGGAGAUGCUGCAGUGACUUCUAGUCCCAGAGAAGAGCAAUUGUUUCCUAUCUUUAACUUCCCUAUGGAGCAGGGCUGGGGGUUGGGGGAGUGGUCAUGGAUGGUAAGUUUGUGUUCAAGCUAGGGCUUUGUGAGUAUGAGUUAUUUCUGAUUUAUUCAGAGGUCUCCAUUUGUCCAUGUCAGGUGAACUUAAAGAGUGUGGGUUAAACAAAAUGGGUUCAAAUCCCAGGUCUGCCUACUUCAUCCUUGUUACCCCUCAAUGUCCUCCUCUGUAAAUUGGGAAUAAUGAUAGCAAUUGCCUUAUAGAGUGGUUAGGAGAGUUCCAAGUACCCAAAGUAUGCCUCAAACAUUGGGGGAAUCAAUAAAUGCCAAAUACUAUUAUUUUGCUAUCUAUUGUGAUUUCUAAUAAGAGCCAGAGGAUAGAAAGACACUUGAGCUAGUUUGGAUGUGUCAGGGUUGCCUGGAGGACAGCUGGGAUUCAUCCCCAGAGUUUCUGAUUUCCUGGAAGUGGGAUAUGGUCAGUAGAACCACUGCUCCAGCCUAUAUACAAGACGUGUGCAAAUGAGACCAUUAUUUAUUUAACAAACACCUCUCAUGUGCCAGACUUUGCACAUACACAGGUGUUAUUAAUAUUGACUCAAUUACUCCUUAUGAAACCCUAUGAGAUAGGUUCUAGUAUGCCCAUUUUAGAUAUGAGAAGACCAAGGCACAGAGAGAUCAAGUCACUUGCCAAGAGAUCCUCUGGAAGAAAGGACUGUGUUAUAAAACCGAGUAAGUGCCACAAAAGAGGCACAACCUGUGAGAGGAGACACACAGACUCUAGGGUUCUCUGGAGAUGUGUGCAGCCUCAUAUGUGGGGUUGCCUGCAGUAGACCUCAUGCUGGCUUGGGUCCUUGACAGAGCCUCGGGUUAAGGAGCUAUAGGUGCAGUGAAAGGAGCAGAAACUCUGGAGGCAGAGGAGGAUUGGAAUCCUGUCACUGCUCCGUGCCAGCUCUGUAGCCAUUAGCAAGGGAACUGUCUCCUGUGGCCUUUUCCUCACCUAAAAGAAGAGGAUAAAAACCAUGAGAAUAACCAAACCUAACCAGCAGGGCUCCCUCAAGAACCAGCCAAGGGGCCUCAUAUGUAGGUCCUUGGAAGAUAACAGAUGCUCAAGGAAGGUUAGUUGCUUUCCUGUUUUCUCAGUUCACUGGAUCCUCAUCUUGUUGACUUUUGCUUGAUGUAGACUAAUUUCACCCAGAUUACCUGCUCCUCUACCUGACUUCAGUUUCUCAUUAUCAGUUUAAAAUAUCUUAGGAUGUAAAAAUUAGAAAAUACUCUAGAUAUUUAUUCUUGGCUGUGCAUCCAAGCCACUUGUGGAUUUAAAUAUACGUGUGUGUAGGCAUCCUGUGGUAGACUGGAUUAUUCUACACAAAUGUUCACUCUUUCCUACUAAUUCCCACAGAAAGUACAUGUCCCCCCCCCUUUGAUAUUAGCAGAGGCUUUGUUGGGGCCAACUGGGUGUUAACAGACAUGGUCAUUAUUGUCACCAAAACAGCACCGGACAAGACAACAUAGAGAAGAAAAGAUUAAUGGCUCAUGGUUUCAGAAGAUUCCAUCCAUGGCUGACUGGCAGAAACAUCAUGGCAGAAGGGUACAGUAGAAGAAAGCCGAUCAGCUCACUGCAGCCGAGAAGGAUGGGGGAGGGAGAGGGAGAAAAGGAGAGAAAGGAAGACAGAUACAGUCCCCGAGGCCAUGUCUUCAUUAUGUACUUCUUCCAGGCAUGCCUCACCAUGCCUAAUUACCAUCCCAUAGUAAUUCAAAUUAUUAAUACAUCAAAUGCUUUAAUGCACUGGUGAGGCCAGAACUCUCCUGAUCCAGUCAUUACCUAAAAGUCCCAUCUCUGAACCUGGCCGUGUUGGGGUCCAUGCUUUCAAUGCAUUAGAUUUUGGAAGGACAUUUUAUAUCCAAAUCAUAACAAGGUAGGAGAGUCAUGAAAUGAGCCUGUGAGGUCAAUCUGGUUCUUUUGCACCUCUGAUGCAGCCACCAGGUGUUCCCCAUUGAGAAUUCUGGUCCCUGGGGUGGGAUGGGAGGCACAUGGGUUAGAGCUGAGCUGUUCCUGUGGAGCCCAGUUUCCAUCAAGCAACCCCCAGCUGACACCCAGAUGUGAUUGAGUAAGCCAAGGUCACCAUUUCCCAUGAGACUACAGGUUUGUGUCCUUAAUGAGAAUGCUGUGGUUCCUUUUUCAGGGCCUGAUUUUGACUCCAUCUCUUAUUCUGAGUAAUAGGCUUAGGGCCCAGAAAUCUGAAUUUCUAAAAGUUUCCCCUGGUGAUUCUGAUAUUCAGCUAGAUUUGGAGGCCACUGAUCUCAUCUAAUCCCCUUUUAGAGGGAAAAGCUAAGACCCAGAGAAUAAAGUGACUUGCCCAAAGUCUCAAUACAUGGAAGGGUUAGUAUUAGAAUCCUUGACACUUUAAUACUCUUUACUAUAUCAUACUAUUCCCAUAAAAAAUUAACAUGGUAGAAUAAAUUCUUCACAUCUCCAUAACUUAAGAUGCUCUGGGAAGAGUGUUUCCACCCCAUACUGAUAUCAACCCUUUGAAACCCGCUGAUGAAAGGAAAUAUGCAGCAGAAAGAGUAUAUUGACUUUGGUUGUAAUUGCAUUGACUGUGCCAAAUGACUCAGCUCCAGGUAAAAACGUGGUCAGUAGACCAUGCGCUUUAGAGGGAAUUUAAAGUACAGUAUUCUUUUUCAACUUGGGAAAGUUUAUGCGAUUUCUAGGCAAUUAUUUCCUGUAAGAAUAAAAGUAUGAGUUACUCUUUCAUCCUCUUCCUCUUGCUGAAGCUCCUCCUCAUUAGUGGUCUCCUUCCUCUUGAGCUGCAGUAAUACCCUCAAAGUACUGAAUCUAUUACAGCUGACGCUCGUCUUGCAGACCUGACAGAAAUACAGAUUGGCAAACUGAAAUGUCUAUCUGGAUUCAGACUCAGAGUCUCAGAUGCAGGGUAAUAUUCAUUGAGCACCUGCUAUGUGCCCAGUGCUAUGCAAAUUGCUUUCACAUGCACUAUUUCAUUAAAAGCACAGGAAUUGACAAGGAGUGGGUGGAUAUAUGCAGACUGUGUAGAAAGAGAGAAAAGAGACACUCAUGGCUUGAGGCCAUUACUGCAAACGCUGUGACAUCUCUCUAUUUACCCACACUCUCCUCCUGUUCAAUCUCUGUCAGUUGUGAAGCAGGGAAGACUCUCCUGGCCCCAUUUCACCCUCUAGCCUAAACAUCACCUUUCCCCUACUCUGUUGAUUAUUUCAGAGAUGACUUAAAGUAGUAAAGCCAGACAAGAUGCUAAAUGUUUCUCGCUGGAACCAGGCAGGAACGGGGCUCUUUCAUGGCCUAAGUCUCUGAUUGCUGCCCAUGUGGGUCAGUCCGGUGUCUCUCAGAUCUUGCCAUUUGCCCCUCCCCUGUACCAUCUCUCCUAUCCAGCUUUAAGAAUGCCAUAGUCCAAGAUCUGAGGGGUGUCAUUCCUGUAUAGAUUUCCCUGCUGAAAACCUUCCCUGAGCUUCCUUUGUUAGAUUGCUGGUCUCCCGAAAACUACUCUGGAUAAUGCCUUCACUCAUUCCUGACUCUCCUGCUUUUUCUUCUUGACCAGGACUAUAGUGUGGGACUAUGCACGCAUGCACACCCCCCCACCCCCACACAUGCCAUGGUAAUCUCUCAGGCCUUUCCUCAGGCUUUCUCCACUCCUCCAGGGAAGAGAGACUCUGACUCUAUGUUCACGUGGGUGUGAUACAGUAGGGAGUGGUGAGGAGCAUGACCAAGUGGAGAGGGCACACCAGGUCUAACAGACACUAUGUGGCCCUUGUCACUGAAGGCCACCACGCUGUGGUGAGGCUUAAUGUUGACAUAUCUUCUGAAUUUUUAGAAGCAAGAAUUUUAUGUGAAAUCUCUAGAUUUUUCAUGGUGUGGAAGUUAAUUAAGAAAAAAACAAAACAUUCUUUCUGCAGCAAAUAAGACAAAUUCUGCUCCGUGUCUUUUGCCUGUUCAUCCCAUGAAUGAAUGAAAGGGAACAUUAUAGCAUCUUACACUUGGAAGUGAACUUGAAUUCAUAUGGUCAAAUUUUCUGCCCCAAACAAUAACUCUUUCAAUAGUAACUCUCACAGGUUAAUAGGUAUAUUGAUUCACUGCUACAUUAUAACAAAUUUCCCCCAAAUCCUGUGGUUUAAAACAAUAACUAUUUAUUCUCAUACCUGAAUUUGCAGGUUGGCGAGGUCACUCUGCUUCACAUGUCACAGCUUCCCCUUGGGAUCUGUGGGCUAAUCAGAAUAUUGUUCUAAUAGAUGUCAGAAAUACAAGAGAGCAUAGCCAACCAUGCACACACCUUUCAGGAACAAUUGGAAGUCUUACCUACUUCUUACCCACUUACCUUACAUCUUACCCACUUCUGAUUGGUCAAAUAAAGUCACAUGAUUAGGCCCAAAUUCAAGAGGCUAGUUCUAUUCACUACCAGGCCAUUACAAGAAGGCAGGUGGGGUGUGGGCUGAAGAUCUCAGCCCGAUCAUUAAUUCUGCUGUACUUGGUGCAUGUUCUUAAUGAAAAGCACAUUUUCCUAGUUAGCCUGUAAUUGAGAACUCCAACAUUAGCUUUUACUAGAUUUUAUCUGUAUUUAUGCUUCUUGUAGAACAUAGCAGCAUGUUUCCUUAGAAUGUCAAGGACACUUCCUAGCUCAACUGAUUUGUCUCCCUGUUUGUUAGAACUGACACCUACACAUGAUAGCUACCAUUUAUUCAGCACCUACUAAUUUUCAGAUACUGUACCUGGUGUUUUAUAUAUUGCUUCUAAACCUUGCAACUAGCCCUCAAGGUAGGUAUUAUUAAUUCUAUUUAUACUUGAGAAAAGUGAAAAUCAGAGAGGUUAACGUACCCCAAAUGACAUCACUUGAAAAUGGCAGAGCCUGAUUCCAAUCCAUCUGUUUGACUCCAGGGCCCCUAUACCACAUAUCAACAGUUUCACAUGUUCUCUUCUUUUUUAAGAAGAGAAGGGUGGCUGUGCAUGAAUUUUAGAAAAUCAGUCUACAAUUGACCAAGAGUUGAGCACUCAGAUGUUAUGUGUCAAGUAUGUGUGUUAUGUGUUCUAGUUCCAGAAUUCUCUGUACCCCAUAGGUGUUUAAUUAAAGUUAAUAUUUCUAAAUGAGUGCCUAUGUUUUAAAGAUUGUAUUGCCUUAUGAGUUAUUUUUUUUCUGUGUUCCAGUUGCAAUACUGUUCUUUCUAAACAUGUGCCAAUUUUCAGUGUGUUGGCUCUUAGCUCCAAAUUCAGUCCUUACUUUGUGUUCUGCAAGAAUAAGUGGGACACUGAACAUUUAGCUUUUAUGCUGACCAUGAUGCUAACUUUUGCCAGUGGAAGGCAUGGGAGGAAUACUGUAGGUGGAGGGGGCUUCUCUUGGACUCUGGUGCACCAUCUUUGCCUUCUCAUUUCUGAUGGGUAGUCCAUCAGAGGUGCACAAGCGAGGUGGGGCUGCAGGUGGGGGUUGGAUAGCUGGUAGUUUUUUUUCUCCCAGUCAUGUUCCCAGAACAUGCAGUCCAUUGGUCACCUGCAAUCCCAGCUUCACCAGAUGACCACUUUGCCAUGGUCCUCCCUACAGAACACUGCCCACCUGAGGCCUCAUGCCUGCAGCUGUGCCCCAUGUAAUUCAGUGUGCCCAGCCCCAACAUGAACUAACCCACUCCCUGGAAGUUUGUUUCUGCUUGUUCUACAACCAUAGGCCAACUCUGGCCGGGGGAACCCAGCAAACUUUCCAGAUUUCUGUUGUUUCCAGUGAGUUCUGAUCUCUAGCUAUUGAUCCCCUCUAGUAUUGAUCCCUUAGUGGUAAGGUAACCCUGAGAGUGUUCUUUAUAUCUUUGUGUUUACUGCCCUAUCAUAGCUUAAUAUUUCUUGAUAUCAAGCUUCCUUUGUUUAAAUUGCCUUGUGAUUUUUGUCUUCUGGUUAAAUCCAGACUGAUACAUAGCUUGAGUCUAAACCCACCUCUCGGUAAAUUGGAUAUUUUAUUUUAUUUUAUUUAUACAUUAUAUUUGCUUCCUUUCCUACUAACGUGCUAUUUGGUGCUUGAGAGAUGCUUACUGAGGUGCCUUGAGACCACCUGCGGCCUGGACAGAUGUGCGCUUGCAAAGCCCUUUAACUUGCAGACAUUGUGUGAACGAUACCGUUGCUUCUCAACAUGCUAUCUGUGGUAAACGACCAUUUUAAAAAAUUUAAUUUCUAAAUCUUUCAUAAACCAGCACUUUUGUAAAACAUCAUAAAAAUGAAGUGCUAAAAAAGGAAAUUUUAAGAAGACAUAAACAUAACAUCUCAAUUUCUUUCUUGUUAGUAUUAGUUUCAACAGACAUAUAAUUACUCUAUUACACUGCUGUAAAAGUUUCUAAGUGUUCACCCUCAAUGCCUGUACCUCUGUUGCUGUGGGCUGGUAACACGGUAUGUGGACCACACCUUGAAGAACCCUUCUCUGAGCUCUUUCACCAAAGCUAGGAAUCAUACUGAGUCUAUGCUCUGAUUCUCAAAUAUAAUCCUCUCAUUGGACCCUGCUUGCAUUUGAGGGGUUCACUUUACUCUUCUAGGACAUGGUGACAGGACUCUUACCCCCGAUCCCAUCCACUUGCUUUCUCCAUUCAUCACAUGCUCCUACUUGGCACCCCUUCCUUGUUUCCAUCCUAGCUGAUUGCAGUAAUUUUGGUUUCUGUUUUAUAACCAAAGUCCCUCUUCCAAUUAUCAGGAAAUAGUAGCUGUGGCAAUAAAGUGGCCCUCUAUUUCCCUGGGCUCUAGGCCCUUGAAUUCAUAAACAGAUGCAGGACCAUUCUCCCUUGCCCACUCCAUCCUCCAUGUUUGCAGCUAAGAGCCAGAGGUAAGGGUCAUUUGCAUGUGUGACUUGUCUUGAUAGCAUGAGUUGCACCCCCAGGUAGAGCCAAAAUCCAUGUGUCAAAGCUCGACUUCAGCUCACCAGCCAGGAAAAUACAAAUGGACUGGCGGUGACGUCCAGCACAAACACCAUAAUUGUAGCUUUGAAUGUUGAAAUGGAACUGGGCUAUAGUGUCCAAUCUCCCUGUCCUUCCAUUCCAAUGUGGGCUCAGCAUCCUCUGCCUCUUAAUUAUUAUCAUUAUACGAGUCUAUCUAAAGCUGUAUUUGUAAAUUUCUUUGUAAUCCAGAGUAAUUCCACCGAAUUUGUUUCCCCAUCUUUUCUCUGGGUUUAUGUCCUGCCUUCCCAGCUUAGUUUGUCAGCCAAAGACUUAUUCUGUAUUCUGCACAGCUCAUUCCAUUGUUGGUGCUCACUAGAUUGUAAUAGAAACGCCAUGCCACCGAACUGUGAGUCGAAGCUGUAUUACAAUGAUACUGCCCCAAUUUUACAGAUGCUGCUCAGUGCCAGGGAGCUUUAAUAAAAUGCUCAAGGUCACAGAGCAAAUCCAAUGUAGAAUCCGGGGUGGGACCAGCUGUUGUGAAUCCGGAGCCCACAUCUCUUUUCAUUGUAUCAGGCUGCCUCUCAAAACCACGAGAGAUACUCUUAUCAGUGUUGUUUGGUGGGUGUUCAGUUCACUGCAGUCGAUAUUGUCAAAUGAAAUCUUCAAAUGCCAGAAGUAUGCUGUCAGACACUCUUCACCUUUAUGAACUCUAGCGUUAUAAGCAGCAGUAGCACAGAUGAAACCAGGAAAUCUAUAGCCGCCGUUAAUGCUGGUUGUUAAAAGGAUGUCUGCUUGUAAGUUGUUCUUGGGUGACAAUGAUCAUUGCUGGCAUUCAUUAAAACAGCAGUGACAAAAACAACAAAAACCACAACCCACUAGAAACAAAAUCUAAGCUACCGGAAAGAUGGCUCAUGGCUCCUAUACAGAACCCAGAAAACCAUAUUCUAAAUGACCCAAUAAUUCAAUUUAAAGUAAUGGUGAUGCUGAAUAUAUUUUUUUUUUCUAAACUCUACUCUGAAUCCUCCUCCCUUUUCUCCUUCCCUCCUUCCCAGGGUAUUCUGACCACUUCUUGCCCUCCCUCCACUGGUUUCCAGUCAAGGACAGUUAAAAUAGAAGUUUAGAGAGCUGGAUUAAAUCUGAUUGAAUGUAAAUUGCCAGCAUGUAUCUGAGACAUUUAAAAAUAUUGUGUGUUUCCUCAGAGCAAACACUGUGAUGGAUAUUUUACCUAACAUCAUCUAAUUCUUAUAUCAGUGUUGCAAACUCAAUUUUAUUCUCUUCAUUUUGUAGAUGAGAAAACAGAAUCUCAGAGAAGGUAACCCGUGAUCUAUGUGGUGAGUGACUGGGUUUCAAACUUGAGUCUUUCUGGCUUUAAACAUUGUCUUCCUUGAGCUUCCCUUUUUAACUUUCCCUUUAAGAAACAGUAAGUUACAUUAAUUAUUGAUGGCAGUUAAUUUAUUCAUCUUCAACACCAACUGUUGGUGCAUGGUUAUGUGAAUUGGCAAAAAAGUACACAAAUCCUAGACCAAAAGCAAACAAUUUAGAACAUUAAAAAUGUACCCGUUAAAAAUGGGUACAUUGAAAUCAGAGUUCCACCUCUGAUUUAUGGCUUAUCAGCUUUGAACCAAAGUCAAAGGGAAAUGAUGUGAAAGAAAUCACAUCAUUUGGGUAACUUGUUAUUCUUCACUUUAACACUGACUUUUGAGGCAUGAGAAGGAAUAUGGACUGGGGAGAAUGAGAUUUUCUCUGUGAUAUUUAGAAGUUUACUUUCUUUUCUCAACCCCCAAAUCCAUGAUAUAGGGAACAACAAAUUUAUUUAUUUAUUUUACUAAAUUAGUAAAAAACAAUUGGUAGAGCAGAUUGUCCAUGAGGUUGGUGGAUGUUCAUGAUAUCCAUGGCUAAUUUGAGGUACUGUAGGAAUAAGCACGUAUUUAUUUAAUAUGUUUGGUUCCUUUUUUUUUUUUUUUUUGGUACCAGAGAUUGAACCCAGGGGCAUGUAACCACUGAGUCACAUCCCCAACCCCUUUUUUUUUUUCCUGUAUUUUAUUUAGGGACGGGAUCUUGCUAAGUUGCUUAGGGCCUCACUAAGCUGCUGAGGUUGGCUUUGAAGUUGUGAUCUUCCUGCUUGAGCCUCCCAAGCCACUGGGAUUACUUGCAUGUGCCCAGCUAGUUUUUUUCUUUAUUUCUAGGUCAUUCCAAAGGCUUAUUCAUAGAAUUUGUUGACAUUUAAUUCGUUCAGAAUUGAUAGGCAGCAGUUAAUGGCUUCAUUUUACAGGUGACAAGACUGAGGCAGAUGGGCACCUUUGAACACCUGCCAGGGGAAAGCAGUCGAGGAGGGGGAAUGUCAAUCAGAAUCUGGAACUUGCGAUUCUUCAGGUAGGUCAACUUAACAACACAUUACACAUUCAGGCAUUGCCGGUAUUCUUUUCAUUGCAGCCAUUUUAAUUUCAUAACAGAUUUCUGAGUGAACUAUAUCAAAGUAUCAUUCCAAGAGUGUCUCGUAAUUGAAUGCCAACACAGAGCAAAGUACACUAUGCUCAGUCAGCAAUGAAUAUACAAGAAAGGGUGUUCUAAAUGACAUCAAGCAGGGUUUUAGCUCCUGUGAAGACCCCCAGGGAGAUAUGAGACAUGAUCCCACUUUCAAAAAUACUCAAGGGUCUGAUUCGAGAAACUAAAUUUCGCUCUGACAAAGUAAUGGCAGCACCAAGGAGGUGAGGUUGACAGAAAUAACAAGGGGGUCAAGGGGCAGGGAGACUGACUGGAAGCUAGAGAGUCCAUAAAAGACAGAGCUGUUGAAUCUUGAAGGACAGAUGUGUUUCAACAAGGACAAAAGGAGAACAAGAAAGAACAUCGCUUGCAACUUUUGAGCCGUCCUUUCUAGUAGGCAACGUGCUUCCGUGGUCAUCAUGGGAUUGAUCCACACAGUCACUCAGCAAGAGGUGGCUUUAUGAUCCUCGGUUAACUACUGAGAAACCAGAAGCCCAGAGAAGUUAAACAGGCUUUCUAAGAUGACACAGCUCAUCAGAGGGAGAGCUUAGAGCCAAACCUGCAUCUGAUGUAUGUUCUUGGUGCCAGAUUCCUUUUGGGACAAAAACAAUCAGAGGGGAGUUGAUUUUUUUUGUUUUAGACCAGGGGUAACAUAUGGUGAAAUGGGGUAGGGGAGCAUUGGAGGCACAGGACAUGGGAUGAGCUGGGUCCUCCCCCAGCCACAGAGGACCUGGGCUAUCUGUCACAUGUGCACCAUGCUUGUGGCACUUGCUCCUUUCUGGCCUGAGCCCUCAACUCUGAGCUCCUGGAGGGCAGGGCUUCACCUUGCUGUCAGUCAGAAGCACACUGCUCCUGGAGGAGGUGCUGAGAACAAUGUUUUGAAUGGAUGAAUAUGUAGCUGUGGCUUUGAUCUUGGCACGGGGUUAUGAUAAUUUGGUAAAAACAGUGGAAUCAGAGCAAAGGCAAAUCCAAGGGAAACGGUGAAGUAAGGGGAAGAUUGUCAAGGAGCCCACAGAGACGUCUGAAACCCUGCCAGCAUUCCAUUUCCUCACCCAGAUGUGGGGAUACAAUGGUGCUUUAUGAGUAUUGUGCAUUAAAUGAACACAUGCAUUUACACAUUUUAUAUUUCUAUAACUAAAUGGAAAAAAAAAUUGAAAGGAGGAAAAAAUGGAUAAUUUUGGUGACAACUUCAGUUUAAUCAAUGAGACUCGUUCUAGUUUUUUUUUUUUUUUUCCCUUUCCUCAUUUUGAAGUAAGACCUUCUUAAAGAACAGUCCCAUGCCAGAAAUGGGGCGCUCAGUGGCAGAGGCGACAGGUCAAUUUUAGGCAUUGCUGGGAGCUCUGUAAUGGCAGGUGAAGCAUUGGAGCCACUUCUUUAUCCUGGGAAGACCCUUGUUUCCUUUGCUGCUAGGCCUCAUGUCCUGGGGAUUUGACUGACUUCCCGUUCUUCUUUCAAGGGUCAGCCCCUGCAUGAUGGUAGAGGACUGUGCCUCACCCCCCAAAAAAAUUUGGCAGCCAGAUGAUUCUUUUUCUUCAUUAUCCUCAUUCAUUUCCUCCAAAAUAAAAUUACAAUGGCUUUCACUUAGAGAUUUUACUGCUAACCUCUGUGAGAUUGUAGAUAAGGAUUUGCGAAUGGAGAAUUACAAAGUGUGUGUAAUAAAAUUCUGUGAGUAAUGGUCCCAAAUCAGGAUUUCUACUCCAUUUCCUGGAUGGUACUCAGAAGUCCUAGGAGGUUUUCUUAGAAGAUUCUGAAUGAUGCAUAAGUUCUUCAUCCAUACAACUAAUCCUGGCUGUGUGCUUAUGAUGUAUCAGGAAGUUCUCUAAAUAUAUUACUGAUAUUACCUCAUUUAAACCUCAAAACAGCUCUUCAGACAUGUACACCAUCCUCAUUUUACAGAUGAGGAAACUGAGGAAUGGAAAAUGUAAAGACUGCAUCUCAGGUCACUUAACUGCUAAGUGGUAAAGCUAAAACUUAAAGCCAGGCAGCCAGAUCUCAGAGCCCAUGUCUACCUGUCUUUUAGAGUGUACAUGGCUCAGACAUGGCCCACAGAGGGCUGAAGCAGGAGCUGCUCCAGGUGUGUGGAAUCUGGCUGUUUUCUGAGUCUUAUGUUCCAAGGAUGGACCACUUGGGCUCAGGUAGCAUUCCUGUCUUUGGACAUUCCUCUCCUGUGUUCUUGGUUGUUGUCCAACUGCAUCAAAGAUGCUCUCUUGACCUCUCUUCUGGCUAAAACCCAGAAACCCAUCUCUUAUCCUAGGCUCUCUCUGACAUAGGAAAUCCCUUCCCUAUAAAGUUUUCACAGAAUCUUCCCCUGGAUUUAAAAAUCAUUCUGCAUAGACUUCAAAAUCUUCUCUCUUCUAUCCUUUGUUGGCUUACUCAUUAAACAAAUUUUCAUCAACUUUACUAUGUCAGGGACAUUGCUGAGACUCUGGGGGACAUAUGGAUAAAUAAUUCAUCAAUCAUGUUCUCCAAGGUAUUCACAAUCUUAUGAGGUCCAGAGGCACAGAAACAAAGCCAGCUCACUAUAGGAAAAGCUAUGGAGGAGCUACAAACAAGCAGCCGAGGGAGCACAUUUGGAGGCCAACUGUUGGGGACUCUGGAAGUUUGCCGUAGACGUUACUUUGGAUGGGUAGAUUUUUCUAGAUUUACCAGAAUGAAGGGAGGUCAUUCCAAAGAAAGAAAAGAGUGCAUGUGUAAUUUGCUAUGCCAGGAAAUAAUGAAUGCAAAGUUUUAAUUCAAUGAUUCAUUUGCUCAUCCCUAAAUAUUGAUUGUGUUGCCUUUUUUGUGGAAAGCGUAGUACCAGAUGGUGGCGAUGUCAUGUGAAUGUAGGUUCCUCACCCUUGUGGAGCUUUGUUUCUAUCAAGCAAUUUCCUCAAUGGGGAAUAGUUAUGCCACCCUAGUAGAUAUUUGGAAAUGCAAGGUUGGUUGUCACAGUAACCAGGACACACUAUUGGCAUUAAUGUCUGAUUACAAGGGAUGCUAAAUAUCCUGCAAGAUAUUUAAGAUUUCCACAUAACUAAGAAGCAUCCUUACCCAGAGGCCAAGAGUGGCUCUGUCAGGAAUGCUGGAAGUAGCAGAAGUUGCACACACACAUACAUACACACACACACAGAGGCACAUAUGCACACACAGAAACAGAUGUGCAUACAGAAAUGCAUUUACGUUCCCAAUUUAGUCAGCCAAGGAGAGAGAACUUUCCAGAAGCAGAUUCAGCAUAUCACUUUGAGUUAUCCUUCUGUCCACUAUAAUAUGUGUUGCUGCCAGUGACAAUUUUCUUGAGUGUGGUCACAUUCUUGUGGCAUGAAUCACCAUUCUGGAACACCUGACAGUAAUACACUAUCACCUUCCCUUAAAAGAUGUUCACAAAUGUCAGGUUCUUGUGGAUCUUGAAGAAAUGCCUCAGCUUCUGCACAGCACAUGCUUAUGAAGGAAAAUGCAGAGACAACACCCAGUUUUCCUGGAAUCUCUCUCUUCCUCCAACUUUUCUGUGUCCUCAGCCCAUCUUCCUAUACAACCAAGAAGAAACUAGAAUUGUGAAGCUCCUUGUGUUCAAAGGUUAGGAUUUAAAACUUGUGUCCUAAGAGCACUGGAAAGCCAUAGAAGGCAUUAGAAAAGGAUAUCUUAAAGAAUUUGAAGGUUUUUCAAAGUGGAGGAAUUAUAGAAAGGGAAGGACUGCAGUAGGGAGCCCAGCAGGAACUAUGAUGUCCUUCUAGGUAUGAGAUGAGGAGGCUGGAACUAUUGUUUUAGCAGCAGCUGAGAGAAUGGAUUAUAAACUAAUUUCAGAAGAAAAAGAAUUAGGCUCAGAUGAUGAUGGUCAAGUGAGAGAGAGAGAGAGAGCAAUCAAAAUUUACUUGGAGAUGAGAAUUGUGUCAGCCUCUGUUUAUAAAUAAAAUCAGUUCUUGAGAUGUAUAUAUUCUCCCCAUUUAUAGAUGAGGAAACAGAAUCUCAAAGCACUUGGGUAACUGAUGAUUUUAUUCAUUAAUAUGCAUAAUGUGACUCAUUUUCUUUACUAGGUGUUGAGUCUCCAAAGAUGGGCUAAUGAGUUGGGGGUCGCACAUAUUCAUUCUCUACUUCCUUUGCUUGGUUCCUGGACUCGUGCAUUCUACCUGGUAACAACAGAGAACCAUAUAAUGGUCAUUGAUUAGGAAUACUGGGUUGAUACUGUCUUCUAUUGCUGCAAUAAAAAUUUAUCAAACUGGUGGCUUAAAUCAACACAGAUUCAUUAUGUUGUAGUGUUGGAAGUGAAGUUUGAAAUGAGUCUCACUGGGAUCAGAUCAAGGUAUCUCCCCUUCAUCUUCUGAAGGAAAGAUCUGUAACUUGGAUUUUCUAGCAUCUAGAGGUACCUAUAUGCCUUGGCCCCUUCCUCCACCUUCAAAGUCAGCAAUGUGGCAUCUUCUCCUCUCUCUCUGGCUCUCAUCCUUGCUUUGUUAUUACAUCUUCUUCUCUGCCCCUCCUACUCUUUCACUAAUAGGGACUCUUGUGAUUAUAUUAAGCCCACUUGGAUAAUCCAGGAUAAUCUCUCCUUCUCAAAGUACCUUUUACCACGUAAGGUAAGAUAGUCACAGGUUCCAGGGAUUUGGAUGUGAGCAUCUGUGUAUGUGUGGUGGGGUGGAAUCAUCACUCUGCUAUCAAGAGCUGUAUCCUAUGUUCUGGAGAAUAGCCCACAUUCUUGGAAGAUGUCAUUCUCAGUGGUUUUCUCAGUGGUAUCUUGUACGAACCUUUCCAUAGCCCUAUCUCAGAUUGGCAGGCUCUGGUAGGGGGGUAUGUGAUAGGGCAGUGGGUCUGAUGACCAGCUCAGGUCAGUUGGCUAAAUUGUUUGUUCAAUAAAUGCCUUUUACAUUGCAGAUAUUCCUAAAAGUUCACUUACACAACUUGUCCAAAGAAGUUCUUGUUUUAUCUUCCAAUCACAAUUGUCCAAAAGUCUAUAUAAUAUUUUUUUUAAACUUAAACCACCUCUUUGCCUACAUAAAAUAGCUGGCCAGGUAUUCAACUCUAUGUUUCAUUCAGUAGGAGGAUUUUUCUUUCACUGUAGUAUUUCAGGGCAGCAAAACUCAAUUUUUUGCACCCUGAAGGAAUUUAUUUAUAAACCCAGAUUGGCUUCUUUUGUUCUUCCAUCAGCUAGUAAAGGAACCCUGGGACCAUGGGUGUGAGCGGAAGGGGAAGCAGUGGUACAAUUAUGAUGCCAUAUGGGUCUGGGAGGCUAACUUGUGCUCUAUGACCCUGUUUGAGCCUGGCUUCAGAUGUGAUAUUUCUACCUUAUGAUGGAUUGCUGUUGGGCCUGUUCAGCUUUGUGUUUUGUGGUAUAUGCCAGGUCUGACUCAUGAUGGGGAGUUCCAGCUACCUGUGAUUCUCAGUCUCUAAAUUUCAUUCCCAAGCCAGGGUCUACUUUUUUUUUUUAAGUGUAUAAUUUUCCAGUGCAGAUGGAAUGGUUUUGCUUUAGAAUCCUGAGGGGUCUACACUGUUCUCUUACUGGGUCUUGUCCAAUAUCUCCAUGUGAGUUUAACCCAACUAAAAAGUUAGAGGGGAUGUUCCCUAUCAUAUUUCCCUCAUCUUAACACCACUGCAUGUUUGUGGGCUUUCUGAAACCAUUCUCAGUUUUGACAGUUCACUACAAGAUCUCACAGAACAGACUGAAAGCAAUCAUGCAAUUAUAGUUUAUUAUAAGGAAGGGAUACAGAUGAAAUCAACCAAGGAAAGAAGUAUGUAAAGCAGAAUCUAGAGAAAUACCAAAUGGGGAGCUUCCAUGUUACUCCUCUGCAAGGUCAGGGGGUACUUCUUUGCCAGCAUCCAUAUAAUUAUGUCCAGAGUAUGGCUAACCAGGAAUGCUUACCCAAACCUUGGUGUUUAGGGUUUCAACUGAAUGGCAUUACGUAGACAUGACUGAUGGAUUGCUGGUACACUUAAUCUCAGUUUCCAGGUCAACUGAUAUCAAAAGUUCCUAUUCUAAAUCACAUUGUUGACCUUUCUGGUAUAGUUAUAUACAUUAAGGUGUGGCCAGCAUCAUCUGAAAUCACAUUAUUACUAGAUAACCCAAGGUUCCCAGACAAACAGAGAUUACGUCUCAGGAGACAAGGGCAAAGGUAAGGUUAAAUAGCUUUUGUGCAAGAAAUUAUUAGCUGCAUGAUGUCCAAAGUGCUUUUUCUACCACAAAUAUCUCUUACAAGAGGAACUAGCAGGUUGGGUGGCCCAAAUGGUGCGACUAUUUGUGCUGCACUCUGGACCUGCUCUGGUUGUUUUCAAUGUCACUUGAUGAAAGAGUCACAACAGAAUAUCCUAGCAUAAAAUAUGCUGCCUCUUGAAUCCAAGGAGACACUUGGGUUGUUUUGCUUCCUUUUUAGGAGUGGAGGCAUGAGAGACCAUAAUUUCCUCCCUUUAUUUUGGAGAGGGAUGUCCUGGGAUGGCCCAGGCCACUGGGUCCUUAAAAUCUUCAUUAAGGCAAGGGUUCCUUGAAACCUCAUAGAACUACCAAUGCCUCCAAUCAACCUGUCACAUCUUGUCCAUUGUGUCCAAUUAACAUAAUUUCAUUGAUAUUGCAGACCAGCGUCAUGUUCUGAAGAGUGUCCAGAUGGUCUAAGUAUUUUCAGACAGCAUUAUAAUGGAGGGCUGGGGAGUCUGUUUAUCCCUGAGAUGAGAUCAUAAGCAUAUACCGUUGUUUUGUCCCUUAUGUAUUCAAACUUCUGGGCACUUCUUCAAGUUCAAAGGGUCCAGGCAAAUCUGGGAACUCAAAAGUUUUCAAGUGCAUCUAUGCAGAUGUCCCAUUCCAGGUUUUAGGCCCCACUCCUUCCCAGUGUGGGGACCCUGACCUUGGCAAAACAGAUUUGCUGAGAUUUAGAAUUCAACCUUUGUUGGAGCUCUCAUAUCCUUAUAAUGAAGUCCUGGCUUGGUCCUCAGCUUUUUCUGCCCUCUGGCUACAAGAGAUAAGAGUCUUUUAUGUGCUGCCAAGGAGGUUCUCUGGCUUUUACAAUUUACCUUAAAUUGGAGAUAAACCAUCCUCAGACCUUCAUUGUCUUUCCUCAUUGCAUUCAUAGCACCCAAUAAGAGCCAUUCAAUUUCAUAGUUCCAAUUAUCAUGCCCCCCAAACUUCUUGAGUGCCUUAGAUAUUGCAUCUGCCAGUGGAUUUCCUUUCACUAUUCUCCCAUUGUGUUUCAUUAUCAAUGAAAGUUUUAAAAAUGAUACUACUUCAGCCUGCCAGGGGAUAUUCCUACUCUCCUACCAGACCUAGCAUUAGGUGACCCAUCUCCACAAUCCCAUUUUGAAGUCAACGUCUUAGAAUGACUUCUCAUACUAACUCUCUGAGGUCUGAUUCUCCAGGAAACAGAUUCUGAGGCAGAGAUUUUUAUGCAAGCAUUUUAUUGGCUAGUGUUCCCAGGAACAACACCUGUCAUGGAGUGAAGGAACAGGGUUGGAGAAAGAGAGAAGAUGAACUGAGAUAAAGUCUUGUCUGAGCAGAAGCUCUGUCAAUCCCUUAUGGAGCUCUGUCAUUGAGGUAGCCCUUCAGAGUUGUCCUUGCAUAACAGGCCUAGAUCAUUAUAGCCCACAUCAGCCAGUUAUUAGAUGUGGACUUCUAUGGGGUAGAAGCACAAUCUUGGGAGUAGCACCUCCCUUUAGCUGAGGGCAAUGAAGGGCCCAGCUAUAAGUUGUCAACACUUUUGACUUCUGGGGUAAUGGGCACCUCAGCCCUGUAGGAGGAAUCUGGGAGGUAAACCACAGCAUCCUCCCACUUAGCUGUGUGAUUAGUGACAUUCUAGUAUAGAGUUUCUAUCAGCUUUGGUCUGACCAUGACUUUGGAAUGACCAUGUGCAACUUACCUAUGUUGGACAUGUUUCUUUGUGAGAAAAAUAACUCAUUUUGGUUUGUCCAGUCCUUGAGAUUCUAGAAUUCAUUUAUAGCUUUAGUAAAAUCUAGUCUUUUCUAACCAAGAUAUCCUAUGCAGAGUUAUUAUUAUUUCCAUUUUAUUUCUAACCAAUCUAUCUAUGUGAGCCAUUGUUUUUUUCCAAAUGCCAUACAGAGAAGUCAAGUAAUUUUGUUCGCAUUACAAAGUGAUUGAAAAAGUUGGGAUUCAAGCUUGGAUCUGCCCAGACACAGACCUCUACAAUUUAAUUUUGUAGUACCAUGUACUCCAAUGAUGUAUUGGAGUUCUGCAGGAAAAUUUACUUGGUCAACAUUGAAGAUGCCCUUGAGAAGGGUUAUACACUUAAUCUUAUCAGUCAAAAGUACAGGUAAAUGUUGUUCAUCCCAUACUUUUUUGAAAACAGAAACUGAUAUUGAUAUGGUGAAAAUAUGUGCCAGUGUCUGAUAACCAAAAGGAAUAGAAAAUAAGGAUACUAUAGGGCAUUUUUAAAAGAUAACAAGCAGGGGAGGCUAGAGCCUAAUAUAACAGGUGACUGUUAUCUACUCUUGGUUCUGAACUCAGGUGAAAUCAAGUAGUGUUUUUGAGACUUCAGGUUUAGGCAAGGAAUUCAUAAAUUAAACCUCUGAUUACAAAUCCUAACACUGAUGGAUUUUACUAAAAUCAAAGGUCUCUGUUUAUCACAGUAUAUAUAAACAACAUCAACAGUGAAAAAUAAAAGAAAUCUGUAUGUUUGAAGUCAGCAAGAAGUUAUUAUUUAGAAUUAAACCAGAAAUUAUUAUAAGUCAACAAUUAAAAACAUUAUAAAAAUGAGAUAUGGGGAUAGGUAGGAAAUUUCUAAAAGAGUAAGUCUGGUUGUCUAAUAAGUAAGUAGUCAAAUACUUAACUUCACCAGUAAUCAGAGAUACAAAUUAAAGCAAUAAUAACAUGCCACUUCACACCCAACAGAUGGGCAGAAAGUAGAGAGUCCAAUCAUAUCAAGCACUGGCAAAGAUUUGAAGAUGCAGGCAUCCUUCAUGCCCUACAGAGUGAAGCAUAACUGGUACAGCCAUUCUGGAAAGAAUAUGAUUAUGUGUGAAACCAUUAAGUGUGUGCCUGUCUCAUAACCUAGAAAUCCAGCUCCUGAGAGUACACCUCUGACAUUCUGGCUCAGGUUCAUAGGGUGGCAUUGAAGAAGAUAUUUGGGCAACAUACAACCAAGUACAGGGUCAGUCUAUAAUGGGUCUAUCACUAGGGGCAUCAGUUAGUAAAACCAAGACAAGCACAAAUGAAAGCUAAAUGUUCUCCCCCCUUUUCCUCUGUUUCUCUCUCUCUCCGUGCAUGUGUGUUCACACAGACAUGCACCUGUGGAAGGUGAAGGAGAAGGAAAGUCACUGAGGGAGAUGACUAUAGCCAAUCAGACUUUGUACAUCUCAAGUUUUGAAAAAGAAGGAAAAAGAAAACAAAUGAAAGAUUAGCUAUAAAAUUGGUUCAUAUUUGUGGUCUUUGCAAAUUCUUCGUACAUUAAUUUUUGGUAUUAAUUCAUGAACCACAAAUAAGCUUAUUAUUUAGAGUUACACAGAGACUUUCUUCUGAUCCCCAUUCAAAAUUUCCUCCAACAUUUGAGGACUGUUUUUUAGUUUAGUUUUGUUUUGUUUUUAAACCAAGACUCUAGAACUUUCUUGAGGGUUUUGCCUACAAGAUGACCCUCACUGUAGACCUAUGAGGAAUGUACUUAUAAUUGAGGGCAAGAGGUUUAAUGAGGUUGACCAUGUCUCUCAGUGGAAUGGAAUUAAAGUUGAUCCAACUCCAACAAAUAUAUUCUUUCCUCAUCACAUGGUCUAGUUCAAGUCUCUGCAGAAUUUGUAUGAAAGUACAGUUGUAAUUCUUGGUGCUACAGAGUACUUCUGUUGGCAAACAAAAGUUUACUUUUUUUAUAGACAAAUUUCAACCUUACACACUGGGACUGGAGUCUCUUUGAGACUCAAAGAGCUGAUGAACCGCACCUGGGAAGGUUCAGCUUGAUCCAAGGAAAAUGGCUUUCUCUUUGGAAAGUGCUGAGGUUGGCCUCUCAGCCUGAGCUGCUCUCUCUCCUCAGGAGCUCUCCAUUAAGAAUUAAUUUACUGGCAUAGAGAAAUAUGAUCUUUAUAAUCUCCCCAGUGUCUGACACUGUUGUUUCUAUCUCCUUUUUAUGUCCUUUCUGUACUUUCCUCAAUACACAGAAUUGAGCUUGGCUGUGAUUUAUCAGCUACUGUUAUGGGAACAACAGCAGCUCUCACCCGUCUUGUGUUUUACAGUUUACCAAACCCUCCAAGAUGUCACUGCAUCCUCCCUGACCAUCCCUUAGGGGAUCAUUCUCCCCAUUAUGCAGGAGAAGAAGUGAUAUUCUAAGACUUCCAGGGUUUCAUAUCCAGGUGGAGCACGGAUUUAAAUGUCACUCCAAAGUCUGUGCUCUCUCCUUUAAGCAUGCCUCCUCUCAUUUGAGCUGAAAGUAGAUUUUAUCAUUUCCAAAACACUUUCUCAUUUGCCACUUCUGUCGUAGAGGUGUUAUACCACCUACCACCACCUACAGGACUUGCCUAUCAUCAGACCCUUCGCUGAGUUGGGAGGUGGGAUUUGAACUGGAGGGUUCUGCUUUUCUGCCUUGUUUUUCUUCCCUAACGACAGGAAAUCAUACUCCUUGCUACCGUUUGGAUAUGAGGUGUCCCCCAAAAGCUCACUGUGAGACAGUGCAAGAAGGUUCAGAGCAGAAUUGUUUGGGUUGUAAGAGUCUUAACCCAAUCAGUGAAUUAAUCCCCUGACAGGGAUUAACUGAGUGGUAACUGAAGGUGGGUAGGGUGUGGCUGGAGGAGGUGGGAGUUGGGGUGUGGCUUGGGAGUAUAUAUUUGUAUCUGGCAAGUGGAAUCUCUGUCUUCUGAUCAUCAUGUGAGCUGUUUUCCUCUGCCACACUCUUCCACCAUGAUGUCCGGACUCACCUUGAACCCCAAGGACUGGAGUCACCUGUCCAUGGACUUAGAGCCUCCAAAUAUACUUUUCCUCCUCUACCAUUGUGCUGGUGAGGUCCUUUAGUGGCAGCAGUGGCAAAGCUGACUAAAACACUCCUCUAUUUUUGUAUAGGGUCUCGCUCAUGUAAGAGAUGGUGCAAUCAAAUAACGCUUCACAGUCAUGAGUGUCACUUCCCCUUCCGUGAGACUGUGAGGGUGGAGGGGAAAUUCUGAAAGAGCAAAUAACCUGUUAUCAGUUACUCCACAGAGCUGGAAUCAGAGUCAGAGCCCCCAGGUCCAUCCCCUUCCUCGGUGACUCUCAGGCUGUGGAGGAACAAUCCACCAGGGAGCAAAGAGUGGGCUCUGAGGUGGAGGAGCUUUGAUGAGGGUUCCCACAGAGCUUUAUAAAACAACUGGGAUGUGAAAGAUGGUCCAAGAGAUCUGGAUGAGUCAGAGGAUGAUUAGUCAGUGGUGCUCUUUAUCAGCCCCCCUUGGUUCCCGCCUCCCUCUGGGGCUUCCAUGGUUUCAUUGCUCAUUAGCACUUCCAACAGAAGGUGUGGAGGAAAUGAAUGCAGGAGCAGUUGAUUCACUGCCUGGUGCCCUGUACAUUUGGGGGUGCCUCGGAAUUCUUCCUCAGGCCCCAGGUCAAUAACCCCCUACCCCCAGCAGUACUCUCCAGCCCUGGGAAGAGCAAGUUGCAAAUAAAGCUCUGAUCUCCAAGUUAGAACUGGGUCUUCCCAGAAAGACCUGGGGUUUUGAAAGUCAGUGACCAAGAAGCAGUCUCCUUUAAACUGAGAAGCAAAGAUCAGAUGGAAAAUUAGGGAGAAGAAGCAUCAUCCAUCAAAGGGGCUUCCAUGAUGGCCGGGUAACCUGAGAGGCAUAAUGUGGAGAACUCUGCUUUUCAUCUGUGCCCACUGUUUGCAACCUUGGUCUUAUUUAUGAAUGCAUGCAGGUCACUGGGUACCUAGUAGGUGGAGUUUUGAUGACUCAGGGCAUCUGUUGUUACCACUGUUGGAUAAACAGCUCUGAACUCAUAUUCAUGGCAUUAUCACUGUAAAAGACAGCACUGCUGUAUCACUAUAGCAUAAAGCAAUUAGCAAUUGGUCUCACAGAUGGAACCUCUGCAAUAUCCCUGAAAUCCCCCCACCCCACUCCAUUUCAACAGCUGCCACAUUAAUUCAGAUCCUUCUUGCCAGGCUACACUCACCAGCUCCUACAUGGACCCCUGGCCCCUACCCCUUCCCCUUUGCAACCAUCCAACCCAAGGAAUCCAGAUUCUAUGUGCCACUUACCAGUGAUGAAUCAUUCAGGAGUCCAAAUGCCUGCAUCCCUGCCUCCUCUGGGCUUUCUCAAUACUUUGUUUUUACUGUGUAACAUAUGGACUUUCAUCCUGGUUCACUUAUAAGCAGUUCUAUCAAAAUGUAUGGGCUCCUGGGUCUCCUUCCUUAGGUGAUGAGUUUCCCCUAGGGCCAGCCUGGACUUCUCUUGUGCCCCCAAAGCAAAUCCCAGUGCAUGGUCCAUAGUAGGGACCCAAUCUAUGGCUGUUGAACCAGAAUAUUUACUGUGAAUUCAAGUUACUUGUCUAUACAUAUACCCUGCAAUUUCUCCUGUAGCAGGGGAUGGCAAACCACAGCCAACCAACAACCAACCAUCAUCCAAAACAGCUCCCCAUUUUUGUAAACAAAGUUUUAUUGUAAUGUAGCCAUGUACCUUCAUUUAUAUAUGCUUAUGGCUUCUUUUAUACUAUAUGAUGGAGUAGUUGUGACAGACUGACUGGAUUUAAAAAAAUCAAAAGAACUUGUUUUCUGAUAUUUUACAGAAUCUAGAGUAUAAGGCCACCGAGGGCAGGGAUUGUGCUUUAUUUUUGUAUCUACUUAGAAGGAAGCACAAUAAAUGCUUUUUGAAUAAAUUAAUGAAUUAGUUUUGGCAAGGAACUAUAAUCCCAUAACUCAGUGUGCGUAUGUGUGUUUGUGUGUGUGUGUGUGAGAGAGAGAGAGAGACAGAGAGAGAGAGAGAGAGUGAGAGAGAGAGAGAGAAAGAGAGAGAGAGAGAGAGAGAGAGAGAGAGAGAGAGAGAGAAGAGAUGAAUCAUCUAUAUCUAUGCUGGAUAACUACCUGAUGAUAGAUUCAUUCUUUUCCUUCAUUAAUUUAUUUAUUCAAAUUUUUUUAUUGAGCACCUGCUAUAUGUCAGACAUUAUUCUUGGCAUUGGGGUAAAUGGUGAGCAAAAGCACAAGGUCACUAUGGUCAUGGAGUGUGGAGUCUUGGGGGAAGACAGACAUCAUUAGAACAUUAAGUGCAUAGUGUUAAUUGUAGUAGGAGGGAGAGUAACACGGGGUGCUGAGAGCCUGUACCAGUGGAAUUAGCUCUUUAAGGGAGGUCCNNNNNNNNNNNNNNNNNNNNNNNNNNNNNNNNNNNNNNNNNNNNNNNNNNNNNNNNNNNNNNNNNNNNNNNNNNNNNNNNNNNNNNNNNNNNNNNNNNNNNNNNNNNNNNNNNNNNNNNNNNNNNNNNNNNNNNNNNNNNNNNNNNNNNNNNNNNNNNNNNNNNNNNNNNNNNNNNNNNNNNNNNNNNNNNNNNNNNNNNNNNNNNNNNNNNNNNNNNNNNNNNNNNNNNNNNNNNNNNNNNNNNNNNNNNNNNNNNNNNNNNNNNNNNNNNNNNNNNNNNNNNNNNNNNNNNNNNNNNNNNNNNNNNNNNNNNNNNNNNNNNNNNNNNNNNNNNNNNNNNNNNNNNNNNNNNNNNNNNNNNNNNNNNNNNNNNNNNNNNNNNNNNNNNNNNNNNNNNNNNNNNNNNNNNNNNNNNNNNNNNNNNNNNNNNNNNNNNNNNNNNNNNNNNNNNNNNNNNNNNNNNNNNNNNNNNNNNNNNNNNNNNNNNNNNNNNNNNNNNNNNNNNNNNNNNNNNNNNNNNNNNNNNNNNNNNNNNNNNNNNNNNNNNNNNNNNNNNNNNNNNNNNNNNNNNNNNNNNNNNNNNNNNNNNNNNNNNNNNNNNNNNNNNNNNNNNNNNNNNNNNNNNNNNNNNNNNNNNNNNNNNNNNNNNNNNNNNNNNNNNNNNNNNNNNNNNNNNNNNNNNNNNNNNNNNNNNNNNNNNNNNNNNNNNNNNNNNNNNNNNNNNNNNNNNNNNNNNNNNNNNNNNNNNNNNNNNNNNNNNNNNNNNNNNNNNNNNNNGAGACAGAAUCAGGACACUUGGCCAGUGUGUCCCUUUCAGAGGCAGCUGGAUAAUUAUGAAGGACAUCAUGGUUUUCUCUUUGAUAUCACUCUGUCUCACAUCCUUUAUGUUUUAUUUGAUUAAGACAUUUAAAUCACAUUGUAGCCAUUGUUUAGAAAGAGAGGUGGCCUUCAUUUCAGAACUCAAUUGUUGUUUCUGUAACUCAGGCUUGCAGUAAAUCUUGCCUAGAAUCUGUUUCAACAUUUUAAUUGCAAUUAAAUGUGAAACUUGAAAAUUGUGCCAAUACAAUGCUGUGAAAACAUCUUUUCUAUUUGAAAAAUUCCCUUUGGGAUUAAACUAUCUCUUUGGAGAUUCCCCCCCACACCCCCGUUUAUAUUUUAUUAUCCAGAAAUGUAUGUACAAAGCUCAAGCUAAAUCACCAAGAUCUUUAUUUCUAUUUACCUUCCUUCUUAGGCAUAUUUUUCUCUCUCUUUUUUUUCUAUUUCAUUUAUCAUUCUUUGGUUCGCUAGGUCCCUUUUCACUGUAACCAUGAUUUCAUUAAUCUCUUGGUCCAGAAUGAAAUAGUUGAUUGUAGAGGGAAAGGGAGAGAAAAACAGAUUCAAUUUGGGAGUUACCCUGUGAUCAAAGAAGAGAUGAGAUCUGUGAACCAUGAAAGAUAAGAACUCAGACAAGUCUGUUAUUUAUGACCUUGCUCAAGAAUAUGUUAAGUGUCCAGAGUGUCAUAGUUAGUAAAAUUAUAGUAGACAUCCUCCUGCUGUGAUCAAAACAAACAAACAAAAAAGACAAGGAAAAUAUUAUUCUGUAAAUUGGAUUACAAGAUUUUCACUGACAAUUAAAUGGUCUCUUAGAUUUUUCUUUCUCUAAGCAGAGCUGACCUUGAAUUGAAGACAUUCUCAAUGUCUCUCAGUGUUUGUGAAAUAAAAGCAAAUUUGCAAUUUAUUUCCAUUUAGGAUGCGGUCUGAUAAGACCUACUGUUUGGUUGCAUAAAAAUGUAGCUUUACCUGGUUGGGAUGCCCUAUAUACCGAAUACCUUGUUGCUUCUUUAUAUCAGGGGUAGUAAUGACAGUUAGCUACGUACUAUUAAAUGAAGCCUAGACAAAAUGCUGCAGCCCCACACAAGCCAGUGAGAUUGAGAGUGAGACAAAGAGGUUUCCCACUUUCAAGCUGGUUGGGAUCAGCUGUCUGAGUUAUCCCACAGAGGAGUUAGAGUGACCGACUCAUUCAAUGGUUAAAAAAAGAAAAAAAAAAUCGAAUCCUUGGAGGAUGCCAUAUGCUCUGUGCUCUGUGACAAGCUGCUGAUGGCACAUAACAAUUACAGACCUGAUUUGCAGCACCACCCCAAAAUCCAGUGGACAGGAAUUUCUUCAGGCUUUUUAAUCACUAAUAGGGCACACUUCUCCAUUUCUGAUAUCAAUCACAAAGUGAAUUAGUUAAAAUGCAAAUUCUCUCUGCCUGAAGAAGUCUGUAUGUGGAUUGAAUUAAUAAAAUGUUAUUUCUGUAAGUACUGUGGUGAAGUUAGAAUCCAUCUUUUCUGCCUGCCAUCAGAACCCUGGAGAUCCCAAUCUCUUUCUGGAGUCUUAGCCCUUUAAACCUAAACUAUUUUAUUGCAGCUUUGGUCUGAAAUGAAUUUAUUGUUCUAGAGGCUUCUUUACAAAUAUUCAUCUCUAAAGCCAAGGGUGACAGUGCUUUAACAGCACACUUUCAUAUAGGAAGCCAGUAUGUUGGGGCCCAUAUUGUGGUAGUCACCACUUCCUGGUCUGCAUACAGGAAACUUGUACCUAUAAUUAUUAGCUGGUAAUAUUUCUCAUGCAACGUGGGGCAGUUGGCCUAUUGUACAUGCAAUGAUGAAUGUGUGUGCUGGCAGAAAGAGCAUCUCCUUCAUCAUGGGUUGCUGCAUAUUUAUUAUAUAUUAUUAUAUUCUUCGUUGUAACCUAGCCCAGAGUGAAGAUUCCAAUGUGAUUUCCAUUGUAAUUUCUUAUUUUCAUUCACUCAUAGUCCUGAGAGAUGAGGUGAAUUUGUUCAUGAGGGCUCUGAUGAACCCUUUAGUUGUACCGUGGCUACCUACCUGGUUCUGUCUGACCCAAUGAAUGAAAUUAUGAAGACCUUUAUGUAUCUUUUGGGGAGGUGGAGAGAUGAAUUCAUGAGUCAAUGAUAUUUUUGCUGUAGUUUUGGUGUUAUGUUCACUCUCCAUAUUUUUGUUGCUGAAAGUUCUCUCUCUUAGCAUGGACGUUGAUAUUCUAUUACAGCCUGUUGAAUACCUAGUCAAGAUCUGGUAACUGGGCAAAAUGAUACGCUGCAGGAAGGCAGAACUCAGUUCCAUUUCUAGAAAGCCCAGGCUGAGGUUGGUGAGGACUUUUCUAACUGUUCUCAAUUCUUGCUUGAUCACUGCAUUAGUUGUUUUCUUAACCUCUAUGAUUGUUGUCCAUAUAGCAGAACUCAAUAUUCCAAAAAAAAAUUAACUGUGUUAUAAGUUAUUUAACCUAAGAUAAUGAAUUCAGCACAAACGGUGGGGUGCUGGAUAGGUUGACAGAUCAGUAAAACAUUUAAUAACAUUGAGAUAAGGGCAGAAGAAAAAUAAUGGGAUGACAAAGGACUUGAUUAAAAUAUCAGCAGAAUAACAACAUUAUUAAUUUGAGUUCCAGCCAACAAAAUGCAGCUCAUUGAAUUCUAGGAUAAAGCUUUUUCAUCUCUGUCUGGCCAUGGUGUUGAGUUGUUGGAUUGUGACAUUCAGGCUUUUGUGGAAAACAGUGCUUCUCAAAGUGUGGUCCCUGGACCAGCAGUAGCAGCAGCGUCUGAAAACUAGUUAGAACUAGAAAUCAUUGGACCCUACUCUUGACUUACUAGAUUAGAGACUCUGAGCCAAUACCUGCAGUCUGUUCUAACAAGGCAUCCAGGUGAUUUUGAUACAGAGCCACUGCGUCAAAAAAGCUUGAGAACCAUUGGCCUACAUAAGGUCUAUGCACCAACGUGUCAACCUUCAGAUAUUAGAAGCCACUUACAAUUCAGUACUCUUGAUUUGAAUUAUUAUUUAUGGUUUGAAUGUUUCAUUACCAGUAUUUGGUCAAAUCAAAAGGGGAACUUUAAAUACCAGUAUUCUUUUACUUUUACUAUGAGGCUAUUAGGUGACUUCUAAAUCAAUAAUCAGACAGCUAUUUUGUAAAAUAAUUUUGAUUAUGAUAUGUAUUAUCAUUAGGAGAAUAUGAAAUUUAUUUUUCCAAUUUUUAAUGGGAAUUAUCUCUUGUUUACUUGCGGAUUAUUGACUGGAUAAGUGGUAGAUUCUUCCUUAGUAUAACAAUUUCCUUUUUUUUUUCUUUUUUCUUUUUCUGUUAAGACACAAGUAGAAUACCAGUAAACACUGACUUUCAGAGAAAUUUAUUUUUCUGGUAUGAGUUUGUGGGAACAAAGUAAUCUCAAAAGACGCAUUACAUUAUUGACUAUCGUGUACAAAGACCACAGAGCACAAAAUUUGGGUAAAACUGCUCCCCCCUCUAGCUCUUUUGCAUGUAUUGAAAUUUGGUAAUGAGUGUACCUGUUAAUGGUGACCUCUGCUGUCCAGAAGUAGUACUGCAACCACUCUAGGCAGCAUAGGAAUUGGAUAUUGUUUGAUAGGAAGGAAUAGAUUUACUGGUUAUGUAGAAAGGUUUCAGCGGUCUUAGUCAAUGGGCGGUCAGCUCCACUGCUGUGGGCAUGAGGUGAGGCAGAACAUCAUGGAGGAAGGGCAUGGUAGAAGCCAUGCUAAACUCAUGGCAGCCAGGAAGCAGGGGAAGAGUGAUAGGAAGGGGACCAUGACAAGAUGUUCCCCAUUGGCACACCUCCAGUGCCCUAUUUCUUUCAACUGUACCUGUCCACCUGCAGUUGCCACCACCUCUAAAUAGUCCAUUCAAUUAUUAGUGGGUGAAACCACUGAUGAGGUCAGAGCCCUUAGGAUUCAACCAUUUCCCAAGAGCCCCACCUCUAAACCUUGCUGCACUGAGGACCAAGCCUUCAACACAUGGGCCUUUGGGGGAAAUUCCAGAUGCACAACUGUUAUCUAAGAUAAUUGUUACAAAGUUAAGAUGCUGUAUCCUCAGUGCUUUUGGUAGACAAGUAAUGGAGAUUGCUGAUUUCUUCUCCAGUAUGUAGGAAUUGAUGGAGGAUUGAAGGACCAUUAUUCAUUAUUCACCCGGUAGUAUUUCCCUUUCUCUCAUGUGUACGUUUUCUCAAUGAGUAAUUUAAACAUAUAGGGACAAGUAUUAACUAUUCUUAGUUACUUGGCUAAAAUUUUGUAAACUAAGCCUUUGACGGUAUUCCUCUGUCAAUUUAGAAAUAGUUACUGAGUACCCCUUUUAUGUGUCUAGCUGUAUAUUAUAAUGCAGUAGAAGAAAGGUGACCUUUGGAAUUAGACAAAACUUUAGCACGGAUCUAUAGUUCUUCUAAUUUACUUGUAGUUAUAGGCAAGGUACUUCACUCCUCUGAACCUCAGUUUCCACAUCUGUAAAACAGUUCUAUACAAUACCAAUUGUUAAGAAAAACUUGUAAACAAGCACAAAGAAUGAAGAUGAAGUGACCUUUCAAUGCCAUACUAAGUUUUUUAAAAAGCACACCAAAAGUUUCAAACACUCUAGAAAAAUGUAAGUUUGUGAGAUAUUUUGCAGUUCUUUCUAUAGCUGACAAGAUGUGAAGAUAUAUAUUUCUGUCCAAUGGAGAAGAUAGUCCCUAGAGUUAGGGUUUAUUGUCUCGUAGGGCAUUAUCUAGCUUUUCUAGCAACAUAACAAUGCUGUGUACAUAUUUUUUCUCCCCUCUACCCUGACUAUAAUUCUUAUUUCUCAAACUUGAAUUGGCUUUGCCAUCUUACUAGUUUCCUUAAUAAUGAGCUACAUAAAAUUUAACAUAUACUUACUAUAUAUUUAUGUAAGAAUUAUGUUUUUAGCAUUUUUAAAAUUAUGCAUUGACAUACUAUGUGCAAGGCUUUUUGCCAGCACUGAAUGAGAACACAUGGGAAACAUAGCUUAGUAGCUAGCACAUAAUAUUCUUCUUAUUUUUUUUCUUAUUCCCAGGUUAAAAAUGCUUGCAUAUGGUUAUUACUCUCGGGAAAGUAAAAUGCUAGCUAGGAAUGCAAAAUGAUCACCAGAUGUGGUUCAGGAUGCACUGUUAUGGAUUUUUUUUUUUUAGCCCAAAUUGGGCCUCCCCUCCCCCAGAAUCAUGGAACCCAAAAUGAGAUUGAGCUGCAAUUGUGCAAUAGAGAAAGAUUUUUUUUCUUGGCCAAGAAUAGGAGAAGCAGGAGGUAGUCUAGAAAACCAACUUCUUAACAUGUUGAGGGUUGGAAAAUGCUAUGGUUUGGAUCUAGAAUGUCUCCCCAAAGCUCAAGUGCUGAAGACUUGCUUUCAAUGAAGCUUUGUCCGGAGGUGGGGACUUGAGGAAGUAGUUGGAUCCUAAGGGCUCUAACCUCAUCAGUGGAUUAAUCCAUUUGACGGAUUGAUAAUUCAAGUGUACUACUAUAAGGGUUACUGAGACUAUAGGCAGGUGGGGCGUAAAUGGAGAAAGUAGGUCACUCUGGGUCAAACCCUUGAGUUCUACCUAUUUUCCCUGGCCUUCCCCCUACCUGUCUUCUUGGUGACUACCAGGAGCUGAGCGGCUCUCCCCCACUGUGCUCUUCUACCAGCCAACUAUGGACUGAAAUCUAUGAAACCUAGAGCCAAAAUAAAUUCUUCCUGUUUAAAAUGUUUUUCUGAGGAUUUUGUUACAGCAACCAAAAGCUAACUAACCAGAAACUUUUAGAUCUAGGGUAAGAGAAAUGAUGGGGGAGGGACAAGCUCAUAAGUGGGAGGAAUAUUUAUAUCUUUGCUGGGAAUGGGCAGAGAUUUUCUGGGAAUUUGGAAGUGUCUUCAUUUUUUUUUUCCUUCUAUGGUUCUUUCUGGUCAUCACCAUGGUGAUUGUCUACUGUUAUGGCUCUGGAGUUGUGUCGUUGAGCAUGCAGAUGAGAUUAUUUUGAAGUUAGAUGUUGUCUGGUGAUCACCCUGGUUGCCAUCUUAGAUCUAACUGCCUUUGGCUUGUCUCCCUGAAGAGGGAUUUCUGGCCUUCAAGCAUCUUGACCUCAAAGAUUAACGAGAUUAAGAUGGCACUGAAAUUCAUUUAGGUCAUGUGGAUAGUACACUGGAUAAAGAUCCACCCUCCUUCCCUCCCUCCCUCCCUCCCUCCCUUCCUUCCUUCCUUCCUUCCUUCCUUCCUUCCUUUUUUUUCUUUUUUUUUUGGUGGUGCUGGGGAUUGAACCCAGGACUUUGUGCAUGCGAGGCAAGCACUCAACCAACUGAGCUUUAUCUCUAGCCCCAUAUCUUCCUUUUCUUCCUUUUACUCCUCAUGCAAACUGAUGUGGUUUCCCUGAUUAGAGGAGUAAAAUUUUCCCUAGCUAAUCUUAAAUAAGUCUGAUUAUUUUCUGGCCGCAGAUGUAGCUGUUCAUGUCCCUGAGUUAUGUCAUUUGUAAUUUUAUGGUCCAGCCUUUUACUCAUGAAUGAGACAGACAGUUGAAAACACAUGGCUUAUAGAGCAGGACAAACAGAGUAACUAUCAAAGAAUUCCAAAGAAGCAGAAACCAGGGAAUGUUAAGUAAAACCACUUUAUCCAUAUUUUAAACAUUCUGGGCUAGACUACCUUAAAAGAAGUCUGGUAUUUAAUAUUAGAGUAAGGAAUCCUUAUACAGCCUAAGAUAGAGUAUCCAAAGAACCCCAGUCUGAUGAAGAUAUCUGUGCUUUUAUAUGACCAGUGGGCCACUAAAUACCACAGGCACUUUAGAACAACCUCUAUUACAGGCCCCAGGUCUUGUGAUCUGGCUGCUGCUCGGCAGAUCUGAAGUCUUUUGUAGUGACUGGAUACAAAUCCAAAUUUGCAAAGCCUGAUGUAGACAGUAGAAAGCCAGUUUAUACAACAACAAUAGCAAUGUUCAGUAGCUAGAAUAUUCGCACUGGUUUUUCCCCCUGAAGGCAGACCCACACAAAAAGCCAAAACUUCAUCAGAGGGAUACUUGAAUAUCAAAUUAACAAAAUGGUAAUAAGCUAAGAAACUGAGAGACAGAUCCCUGGAAGACCUAGUGGGGCUGGGAACUAGACCUCUCCUGUCGGUCAGUGUUUCUCUGCUUGCAUUGUGACCAACAUCUUACCCCACCUCAAAGCCCAUCUCACUUCGUACUCCUUUGUUCUGAUCCUCUAUUAACAUGAAGACAGGUGCAAUCACAUUUCCUCAAUUUCUUAGUGUGGGGUACGUGAGUGGGCCAAGGAACUUUCUGUACUGAUAACCAACCUUUCAGUCAUUAGAAAGGUUUAUUAACAUGAACGAUAUCCAAUGCCUUCACUUGCUGAAGCCAAGGGUCUUUGGGGAGUCAAGUUAUACCUGGAAUGCUUGAUGGUCACUAAGAUGCAGGAAGGUCUGGCCCCUUGGUGCCCAAGUUACUCACUGGCAGGUGCAUUGUAUUCUCUAGGGGACUCAUCAGUUUCUGACUGAGCACUGUGGUCAUUGGUGCCUCUGCUUGAGUAGGUCCUAGGGCAGCCAGUGUAGCCUGCAGAGCCUCUCUUCAAUUCAGUCUCUCUCUCGCUCUCUCUUUACUUCUUCUUACCAAAGGCCCUGAGAAUUCUACUUUUCUCUUUUCUCUGCUUUGUAUUACCAUCAAUUACUCCAUCCUUUGAAAUAAUUAAUCCAUCAAUCACUCCAUUUCUCUUCCCAAAAUGACUCAUAAAAUGGAAAGGGGUGAAGAGAUUAAAAUACAUGUGUUACCUAUUAACUAAGAGUAUUAAUAAAGAAUAGUGAUAACACAUAAUAUCAAAGCUUUUUGUACCUUCCAGAACUAUCAAAAUAACAAUAAUCCUUGGCCACAAGAAUUAACAACAAAGUUGUCUUUAGUCCAAGGCUGAAUACACAGUUGUGGAGCAGAUGUCCUUAUAGACGUACUUUGCAUAUAAGGUUGUGGUGGCCUCUAUGAAAAUUUGUGGUCUGGCACAGUCUUUCCUGAUAGUGAUUAUCAGGCUGUAAUGUGUAAGGACACUUUCUUUAUUACUCCUUGGUUCUAGUUACUUUUAUAUGGUUGACACAGAAGACUCCAUUUUUAUUGGAGUCUUGAUUUUUUUAGAUAACUGGUCACAUCUCAAGUUUCUCUUAAAAAGACCACUGCUUUCCCUUUUAAUUCUCCAAGUAUGACUUUACUUUGACUUUUUUUUCAUUUCCGUAAUAACACAUUGUCUUUGGUUAUACCUGCUCAAAGGGUGUGCAAGAGUGAAUAGGUGGUCCCUCUAUCAACCCCCCAAGCUCAACCUUUUCCUUUCUUACUUUUAAAGCCAGGCAAGUUUCCAUGGGGGUUACUUUCAGGGCCUUGUAAGGAACUUCAUGUCUCUUUCAGUAUUUUUUCUCUACCAAUUGUGCCAUCUGCCAAGAUGGGUCUUGGCUUCCCUUGGAAGCACUGGGGACAUUCCACUGUCCAAUGGCCUCCUCUUUGCAGCUUGUGCACUGGUUGACUCUUGAGAUGUAGAUGUGCACUGGUUGACUCUUGAUCUUGAGGUUGGGUGACUCACUGGAAUUCCACGUCCCUUUCAGAGGGAUACUGUCAUACCCUGGGUCCUGGCUGACCUUGGUGGGUAAAGGCUAUAAUGUUGGCUGUCCUCUUAACCUCUUUAUCCUCUGUAGCUUUGGUCUCCAAGUUUCAACUGUUGAACACCCAGAAAUCCUGUUCCACCAGUCUUGAAGUGAUAGUAGUGAAUUCUAAUUCUAACAAUUAUUAACUUCUCCAGAUAUCAGGAACACGGGAGUCUAUUGUUUAGUUCAGUUCUGUGUGUCCUGUAGGGGAUGGCAAGCAUCUCAAAAACAGUGGGCCAGAUUAUCUUGUUAGAAGUUGUACUGGAUAAUUUUGAGAGGCAAUAGUUAAAAAGUACAAAGUUAAAAAAAAAAAACAACAUAAAACAAAACCCAACAAGAACAAAACAAAUCCAGUUUUCAUAAUUGAUUUGAACCAAGAAAUAUAACACUUUUGUAAUAAUCUCAGUUUUUACAAAAAGUAAUAAAAAAUCAAUUUGUAAAAUAGAUCUAGUUUUAUCAGAAAGCUGCAUCUAAAAGUACUUGUUACAGUUUUCUCCAGGAAUCUGAUUGUAAAUGUUUAAAGAAUCAAAAUUGAGAUGACAGAACACUUAGAAUAGUCAUGGUAAGGAUUUUCCUCAAGUUUAGAAAUUGACAAAACAAUUUGUUUAUUUGCACUAUUUUUUUUAGUUUUAUUGAUUUUAUUUUUUUAAAUACAGGACAGCUGAAUGCAUUGCAAUUCUUAUUACACAUAUAGAGUAUAAUUUUUCAUAUCUUUGUAUAUAGAGUGUAUUCAUGCCAAUUCAUGCCUUUAUCCAUGUACUUUGUUUUGUUUUGUUUUGUUUUGCAUUACAAUUCUUAUUACACAAAUAUACCAUGAUUUUUCAUAUCUCUGUUUAUAUGUAAAGUAUGUUGAUACCCAAUUCCAUAUAGCUGAGUUGGUAGAGUGCUUGCCUUGCAUGCAUAGGUCCCGGGUUCAAUCCCCAGCACCAAAAAAUAAAAUAAAAUAAAAUAAAAAAGAAAGAAAAAAAACCCUCAUAUACAGCAUUAUACCAGAACUACGAGGCUUAUAUAAAUCUUAUAAAAUCUUUAGAAUAUUUAUAGUUGUUCAUUUAACCAGAGUUAUAAAUCAGAUUUAACCAGAGUUAAAGUGAUAAUUUAAAAGACCUUAAGGUAAAUAAGAUACUUAAACAAACCCUAGCACUUUUAUGACUUUAGUUUCCCUAAGUAAUGAAAAAAUCUAAUAAAGAGAAGAAAAAUAAGAAAUUAUCUUCAUAAAAUGCAAAAUCUUUGUUUUCUAGGCCGGUUUUUCAUAAAUUUUACAAAGAGCUGACCAAACCUUGUUGCUUUAAACAUAAAGAGUUUAGGUUCUGUUUUUAUAGCCCUGCUUUAAAUUUUGAUCUUAGAAAACCCUAUAUAUGAUUUUCUUAAUUAUGGCUCAGCUUAAUUACUCAUAAAUUUCUUUCUAUAACAUUUGUCUUUCACAAACCUGUAUCUUUGUUAGACCCUCUACAAUUUGCUUACAUCUUUGGGUUUUGUCUUGUCUAUGUAUUUUUCCCUAUAGCUGGUUUGUUUUUACCUUGUUUCUUUCUUAAAUUUAUAUCUUUAAAUAAUUCUUAUGUGAUUUUUGAAUUUAGACAGAUUACUCCUUUUGAUAAGGUACAAUACUUUAUGCUUUUCCAGUUUUUUUAAUCAAAACAUUCUUUAAAUUUUUUUGUAUUUUUUGUAUAUAGAAUUACACAUGUUAAUUAGAAUGGUAACUCUCAAUUAAUCUUAUUUUUAGUAUAAAACCAAGGAAGAAAGCAAUCUGGAACUGUUUUCCUAUAUAUACCAAGAAUUUAUUAGAACAUCCUUUUGUAGACUUUAAAAUCUAAGUGUACUUGAAUUUAUAUUUAAUAAUUGAGGACAUUUUAGUACUCUAACUUAUAAAUGACUUAUAUGUUUUAUUUAUAUCAUAUGCCUUUAUAAACAUUUACUGAUUUAUAUUUACUCAAUUCACUUAUUUUUUUUAAACAGUUAUUUCUAGGUUACCUGUGAAAAUUGAGGUAUCAGACAACCAUAGUCAAUAUUUCUAGUUUUUUUUUUUUUUUGCUAAAGGAAAACUUUAAAAGGUGCUGUAUUUGAAAUACAAAGCAAUAAACUUUGCAUCUUAAACAUCUAACGGAUAAACAUAAUCCUGAUUGGCUAGUAACCUAGACAAAAAUGUACAUUAACAAUUAUUAAGAUAUUUCUAUUUGUGUCUUACCAAUAAAUUUAAAUUAAUUCAUUUUUCAAAGAUUUGCCUAGGUCAUGUGAACUAAAAGGCCUCUGGCUAAUUUAACAGUUCUAAUCUGUGUUAGCACUCACUUAUCUGUAGCCAAUUUGAAUAGGAUUCCUUGGGGAUCUUAUUCUGUAGAUACAUCAUAUAACAUGGAUCCAAAGUUAUCAUACAGUAACCUAUACACACACAAACCAAAAAUCACCAACCCUUCAUGCUAAAAUUCCAGUCAUGAGUGAGAAUAAUAUAGUAAUUCAAAUUUACCCAAUUUAUUACAAACAGGUAAAUCCAAUUUAUAUUUAUGAUAAAAUGAAACAAGUUAAGGUCACCUUUUUAUAUGACUAAACUGAAUAAGAUUCUUAUUUGCAAGUCUAUGUAAGCCUUGAACCAAUAUAUUUUAGGCAAAAUAGCUUUCAUAGAAUCUUGGUUUCUAAAACUUUCCUUUUUACUUUUUUUUUUCUUUUCUUAGUCUCAAAUGAGUAAAAAUCUCCCAUACGUUUUCCCCCCUAACUUCCUUUCUUCUUCUUUGGGGUUCAAGGAGUUAACUCUUGCCAUUCUACAUUUAAGUAGGAUUGUCUGAGUUAACAAACCCCCAAGCAAGCAGAAGCUUUUACAUGUUAACUUUGCAAUUGCAAUUUAAAAAUCAUCUUCAAUGAUGCUCAUAAGCUGGACAGGGAGGUGCAUGCCUAUAAUCCCAGCGGUUUAGGAGGCUAUAGCAGCAGGAUCACAAGUUCAAGGCCAGCCUGGAUAAUUUACCAAGGCCCUAUUUCAACAUAUAAAAAUAAAAUAAAAUUUAAAAAAGGUUUGGGGAUAUAGCUCAGUGGUAGAGCAGUCACUUAGCAUGUGCAAGGCCCCAGAUACAAUCCUCAGUACAGAAAAAUUCAGCAAACAAACAAAAAUCCAGCAGUGUUUUAAUUUAGGCAUGCCAGUCAAUAAGAAUAUGAACUCAAAAGUGAAUUCACAAACAAAACAAAAUAAAAAGCCAUAAGAUAUGAAUAAGCUCAAAAAGAAGUGCAGGAGGAGUUCCUUCCCAAAACAAAACGACCACAGGUAUGCUACCCAACACCAAAAUUCUAGGAAUUUCUGGGGUCAAUUUACUUUGGCAAGUUUUAAGUAAUUUUGCCCAAUGCUGUUUUCAGGGCUCAUUUUGUGAGUCAGUGUUCAGGAAGCAUUCCAGGUCCCAUAAGAAGGUGCUGUUUAUAAGGAUUUCUUCCCAGACAGUGAGUCAGCAAUAGGCUAGAUAUACCCUUUUACAUGUCUCAGAAAGGCAUAAACUUCAAAGGAGUUAGGGUAGCUCAAGGUGCAGAAUGACCACUCCUUUGACCCUUCCAGAGUAAUUGUACAGUUCCCAGGAACAUACCCAGGAACACGUAUGUUGUUCUGUGAGAUCUUUUCCUGUUGUGGGUCAGUUACCCUGACACCUCUGUUAAAACCCUGGUCAUCUGGGGUCACCCAGAGUGGGCUGGAGGAAGCAUGAUCUCUUUUCUCUGGAGUCUGGGGACCUUCAUGCAAAUAAAUUUCUAAUGGGAUUGUUGCUUCAGCCAUCAAAAUCAAUCCUUUAGACUCUUAUCACAAAUACAGAACCAACUAGUAAAUAAAAGAACACAAAAAACAAUUUCAUUAAACAAGAGCACACAUCCAAAUCAGAUCAGAGCCAGACCAGAUAUCUCAGAAUAUGAGAGAGCCCACAAGUUUGGGUGUGAUAAAUAGAAGAGAAAGGAAUACUGGGAGAAUCAUGGAUCAGAUAAUUACAAGAAAGUUUCCCUUUUGGGUUUGGAAACAGAGUGCUGAAGAAAGUCAAAAGAAAACACCAAAAUUAAGACAGUGUAUGUAGAUAAAGUGUAAACGGACAUCUACUUUACUAAACCAGAUCCCAAUGCUCACAUCAGUUAGUCAUUGUCUCCCAGUUCCCAUCAGGAGCUCCAGGACUGCAGCUGAGAUAUUUUUCAAGCUCUCAGAAGUGAGACUAAGGGCUGGGGAAGGGAUGGUCUCAUAGCAGAGAUUUCUUUUAGUCUCCCAGGAAUAAGAGUCCAGGGGUUGGCGAUCCCCAACAGUCUACGUCUAUCCCUGCCUUACAGCAGACACCAGAGACCAGAGAAAACAAUCAACCUCCAAAGUUCCUUUGCUGCUGAUCAGUAGCUUUCUUAUUCACAAGCAUGGUUCUCUGUGGUCAGGAGCCUGGCUGAUUGGACCAUGUUUCAUCUGGGCUGCCAAGUCGGUUUCAAACUUUUGACACCAAAACUGGGUCCUUUUGACUUCACAGAAUUGUAGAAUAGUAAACAAGAGAACGGUGUUUGAGAAGGGAAGAAAGGUUUAUUGUUGGCUAAGAAUCAGAGAAGAGACAGACUCACAAAUCCAUUUCUUGAUUUGUUGGGGAUUGAAAGAUUAUAGAUCUAGGGUAAAAGAAAUGAGGGGUAGGGUAGGCUAAUAAAGGGGAGAACAUUUAUUUCUUGGGAUGAUUUGGGGGGAAUCUAGAGGACACUUCUUUUUGCUCCUUUUAGGGUUCUUUCUGCUCAUCGUCAUGGCAAUUGCCCUCUGUUAUGGUGUUGGGGGUGUGUCAUUUAGUAUGCAGAUGGAUUAUAUGAAGUUAGAGAUUGGCUGGCUGUCAUUCUGGCAGUCAUUGAAUCCAUUUUGGCUGAUCUAGCUGAAGAGGGACUUGUGGCCUUCAGGCAUUGUGUCCUUAAAGAUAAAGAUGAUUAGUGUGGUAUAGAAAUCCAGCUAGUAUAUGCUGUGAAUAUGCCCUAAUGUGGUCCAUGAGUAUACCACAGUGAAUCUGCUUUUUUGUAUAAUUAUAAUGCACCAAUGGGAGAAAUAUACAUGUAAAAAAGUAAAAGUAAGUCCAAAAGAGUAGAGGAGGGGAUCAGGGGGAGAGGGGUGGGGAAGGAAACAGAAAGUACUGGGGGAUAAAUCAUAGUAAAUUAUGUUUGAAGCACAUAUGAAUAUGUAACAAAGAGCCCAACUAUUUUAUAUAAUUAAUUAUGUACUAAUAAAAACAUGAGAGAAAAAAAAAGAAAUUCAUCUAGGAUCUAGGUCAUAUAGGUGGUAUAUUGAGUAAUAAUAAAACUACCCUCUAAAUAUGGCAUCUUGGCAUUUGAGAAAAUAGCAAGAAGUUUACUCCCACCUUCCUUUCUGCCUUUUUCCCUGAUGUAGGUCAUAAAAGCUUCAUUUCAGAGGUGCUAACCCUAUACCCAAAGGAAAAGAAAAUCCUAUCCAGGAAGACAUGGAGACACUCAAGCUGAGCAAACUCACCAUGUUGAGUCACUCCCAGUUAUUACCAUCCUGUCACAUCCCCAUGAUCUAAUCUUAUGUCUCAUGAGUGUUCACUCUUCAUCAAACCUAAGCAUAAAAAAUACACAUUUCUCCAUUUCUUCAGAACUUUGUUUCUGCAGGUUUCUUUGUCCUAUAAAACUUACAUUACCUACAUUUGUAAGCUUUUUCUCCUGUUAAUCUGCCUUUUGUUAUGAGGGCCUCAGCCUUCGUGAUAGGUGGGGGAAGGAAGGAAAGCAUGCUUAUAUGGUUUGGAUAUGAGAAGUACCUCCAAAAGCUCAUGAGUUAUCCAAUAUAGCAAUGUUCAGAGGUGGAAUGGUUAGAUUAUGAGAGUUGCAACCUCAUCAGUGGAUUGAUCCAUUUGAUGGAUUAAUAAUUUGGAUGGUUUACUCAGUGGCAACUAUAGGCUGAUGAGGCAUGGCUGGAGGAGGUAGAUUAUUGUGGGUAUGCCUUUGGGGAUUAUUAAUUUUGUCUUUGGCUCCCUCCCCUUCUAUCUUCUUCCUGGCUAUCAUGAGCUGUGCAGCUUUUCUCACCCAUGCCCUUCCACCAUGGUGUUCUGCCUCACCUUAGGCCCCUAACAAUGGAGUUGCCCAACCCUGGACGGAACUUCUGAAAUCAUGAACCCCAAAUAAAUCUUUCCUCCUCUAAGUUGCUCUUGUUAGGUACUUUGGUCACAGCUUUGAAAAGCUGAUAACACACUGCCCUACACAUCUAAGAGCAAAUGGGAGAAUGCCCAGGAACUGGAUUGUGAGGUUCUCACUCUGAAGUCAGAGUUCAGAGAACAGAGAUAUCAGGGGCUUCCAGAAGUUAUUAGGAAAGAACCUUGCAUAGUCUUGAACCUGAUGAUACCAAUUCCCAGGACUUGGGAACCCACAUACUUGGUGCCCUGGAUUAUAAUAGUUUAGGAGUGAGAUAACAACAGAGAGAAAGGAGAGGCUAAGGUGACAUCAAACAUUUCAGGAGUGACAACAGUUGGUGACAAGACAUGAGAGAUGAAGGACCGUGAAUUCUGUACAGAUGAAAUAGGGGUGGGGAGUAGGUAAGAGCUAUGAGUCUUGACUUAAAAUGUCCACUGUGCAAGAAACUGCUUAUUUUUACACCACUGAAUUUAAUUUCUCUUUGUCUAUCUUCCAGGAGGCAGAAGUCUAACCCCAGCAAUGAAGACACCCCAGGGUAGUCUUGGGAUAGCUGUAGACUUUCAGCAACCCUGGCUAGAUGUUUGUUCUGGGUAUACUCAUUGAGGUCAGAGGAAGCUGCAGAGAGUGAAACCAUUAAUACAAGGGGAGGGCUGCACUGCCCACUCCUCCACCCCCACCCCCUGUGGUGCUGUGCAUCAAACUCAGGGACUCACACAUGCCAGACACGCACUCUACCACUAACUCACAUCCCCAAAGUGCUGGAUUUUGACUGGUGUCAUUGUGGGCUAGGACUAGCAUCUAUGGAGGCAUUUGUACUAGAAAUCUGUUUUCCAUUUGGGGAGUCUUUAACAACUGGGGGUCUCAGAGGCUAGCGGGUGAUUUUCAAUAAUUCCUAAGGUUUCCUUUGACCAGGUGUCCAUCUCUCCUUCCUUUUUCAAACUGAGCCCUUUUUCUCCAUUAAUCCAGACUCUAGCCUGUGCAUUCUUAACUCAGGUCUCCCUAUAAAGACUCAGGGAGUCUAAGUCUGGUUUUCCUUUGAAAUGGAGAUGUAUCUUCCAGCAAUCCUUUGAGAGUGCAAAGACUUAAGAUCAGCAUCUCUGAGUGGCUUUGUUUUUCUUUUCUGCAUUUAAAAGCCAAAGCUCCACCUGGGGCUGGUGCAGAUGGUUUAGGUGGGGGUUAGCUUGAACUUUGGUGGAUGCACAGCUUUUCUUUUCACUUUCCCUGCCCUUCAGUGUAAAAGAUUUAAAAAAAAAAAAUCAUUAGAAGCAAGUAGAGUGGAAUGGGGGAAGUGAAGCAAGUUGGUUUACCCUGGGGCCAGGAGAAGUUCUAGGGGGGAAAAACAUCCUCUAGGGCCAUUUUGAAUAAAGGCAUCCUGGCUAUUAGCAUUUCAAACCCAGAGUCCCCCAUAUUCUUUCCUUGACUCCUAGCUCCCCAAGUGUUCACUGUUACUAUGCAACCUAACUUCAGGUUUUCUGUUUCCACUUUGUUUCUGGUCUUUUUCCAGCUGGGAGAAGAGACUUUACUCAUUCAUUCACAAGUGUGAAUUCACAUUGAGUGCAGCACACUAUGUGGGAGAGGCAUCUAUGAGGUCCUUGUCGUUAGAGUUAGUGAGACAAAUGGAGGGAACCUACUCUUUGAUGGGGGAGCCCUGACUUCAUUUUGUUCAGGGGAAUCCUUGAUCCAUUUUAUAUAAAGGGAAGUGUUGAGGGCCUUCCAAAGUGAAAUCCUAGAUGUGUUUUUCCACAAGCUUUACAUCUUUGCGGAUAAGGUGACUUUCUCUUCAAAUGCCCUUUUCCUCCUUGAAUUCCUGGAACUUUCCUAAAGCCUCUCUGUGAAGCCUUCUCUGUUGUAUAUCAGGGUAUUUGCCUCAUGCACCUCAAAACUGAGAGACCAUCCCUACUGACUACAUUGCCUUCACACCUACAGAAUACUGCCGCUGCAGCCCUGAGCUCUCCUAUUGCCAAUCUUCAUUUCAAGAUCUGUAAAAGUCCUUAAAGAUAGAUGUGUCACAGUCUGGCUUCUCAGUCAGACUCCCUGUGUUUGUAUCUCAAUUUUUGUCAGUUGAAUGACCCCAAGCAAGUUGCUUCAUUUGUCCCGGUUUCCUCCUCUAUAAAAUGGGGAUAAUAGGCUCACUUUGUAGAACUGCUAUAUAUUAAAUGAUUUAAUACAUGGAAAGCUGUUAACACAUAGUGCAAAAUGUUUAAUAACUGUUAGGUAUUAUCCCUGAGCUUGCUCCCCACCCGCCACCUCUCUCUGUGCCAGGAAUCAAAUCCAGGGUCUUGCAAAUGCCAGAUAAAUACUUUACCCCUGAGCUACAUACCCAGGCGCUAUCCUGUGUCUUGCUAUUGGAAAUAUUUAAACAUUUUCUAUUUGAAAUUCUAUGACUUUUUUUUGAAAGCAAGCCUGUGUCUUAUUCAUGUUUGCAUCAACAGUUCUUAAUGCAGUGAUAUGUAUAUGUAUAUAUAUAAUUAAUCAGUGACAAACAUUCACACACCAUUAAUCCUACAAUCUACUUAAAACAAUCAUUUCAUGGUUUACAUGCUCUUUCCAUGAUCACUGAUUUUUAGACAAGUGGGAUGAUAGAUUGGAUCUAUUUCUGUUUCUCACAGAAAUGUUUUUAUUCCAGACCCAUUAAACUUCAUAUAUUAGUUUCUUACAAAUGCAUCAACAACAUCAACAUCAUUGUCAUUAUCAAUGCUAUUGAGAACUCACUGUAGGGGAGAAAAAGUAGUGUUUUUACCUUAUCUAUCCAUUAGGAGGUUCAAGGUUGAUACCCAUGUUAACAAAAGACAGACUAACAAGAGAAAAGCGUUACAAAUUUAUUUAGUUAAAGUUUCACUCGGGACUCUGGAGUCAUAGCACAGUGGUAGAGCACUUACUUAGUAUGUGUAAGGCACUGGGUUCGAUUCUCAGCACCACAUAUAAAUAAAUAAAGAUUCAUUGAAAACUGAAAAAAAAAGAAAGAAAUUUAAAAAAAGAAGUUUCACAUGGGAGCUUUCAGAAAUAAAAACCCAAAGACCCAGAGAGAAGUGCAUUUUAAUGGGUAGUCAUAUAGAAUGGUUGAAAAUGUCAAGGCGCCAGGCUGGGGUUGUGGCUCAGUGGUAUAAAGGGUAUAUUCAAAUGGUGGAUUGGGAGAGACUCAGCCAGGCCUGUUUGUACAGAUUCUUCUUGAUGUCUCUGUGUCUCAUUCCUUUCCUCUGCUUUAGAUUGAGACCAAAUAAUUUCCCUAUGGCCUUGUUUCAUGGAAGAAGAGCAACAGAGAGAGAGAGUAGUAUGAUCCUUCUGCUUCUGUGAUUUUCUCAGUCUUCCUUGGCUUAAAGUGCUCAUUAUGCCAAGGUGCUAUGUUUUGGGGUAGCUUUUCCUAUACCCCAUUAUACUAUAUGCCGGGUACUGUAUACUCUGUAUACAAAUUAUCUCAUUUAAUCCCUACAAUAAUACAGGAAGCACUUACCCUUAUCAGCCCCACCUGGCAGAUCAAGAAGAAUAGAAUAGCUGGUCUCCAGUCAUACAGCCAGGGAAUGCCAGGUCACAGAAUGGAUUCACACACCGGGCUCUGCAGACAGUGCUCCUAACUGCCUCCUCUACUAUCUGAACAAGAUAUUAUUGCAUCGCUCUGACAAAGGAAUAAAGCUGUCAUCAUCAAGCUACCAGUCAUUGCAGGAAAGACUGUGAGAGAAGAAAGGACAGAAAGGAAUGAACUCAUUUCCUGCAGAAUGUUCUAGAAUUGCUUCAAGAGCUUUUUGAGGUAGUUAGAAAGUGUUCCAUAGCCAGUGGGCAGGUGUCACAGGAUUUGCAGGGCCACUUGGGUAAAAGCCCUGAAUCUGCUAGUCUCUAACUAUGUAGCUUUGGGUCAAGUCAUUUAACCUCUCCAAAUUUGACUUUGAUGGAGUUCAGGACAUGUUACCUCAAAAUAUGGCACCUUGACAUUAAAAAAAAAAUUCUUUUUAGUUGUUGAUGGACCUUUGUUUUAUUCAUUAUUCAUUUAUUUAUAUGUGGUGCUGAGAAUCAAACUCAGUGCCUCACAUGUAGUGGUAGAGCAAGGGCUCUACCACUGAGCCAUAACCCCAGCCUGGCAUCUUGACAUUUUAGAAAACAGCAGAAGCAGGAAGGUCACUCCAUGACCUUCUUCUACCUCUUUUCCCUAAAGCAGGCCAUAAGACUCUCAUUGAAGAGGAGAAGCCCUCUAUUCCUAAAAGAAAAGAAGAUCCUCAUCUGUGAAGACACAGGGACACAGAAAAUAACCUGGACUAAUAGAUCUUGAGGCCUGGCUAAGUCUCUCCAGUUUGUUACCACUAGACCAUGCUUCUUUUGUCUAAUCAUUCUUCUCUAUGACUAUCCAUUUCUUCAUCAAACUCAGCAUAAAAAUAUACAUGUUUUCUGGUUGCUUUGAGCCUUCAUUUCUAAAGUCUCCUGUGUCAUGCGAAAUUUAUAGAUAAAUUUGUAUGCUUUUCUCCGCCAUUAACCUAGGAAUGACAAUGAAGAUCUUUCUUUUCCCCUACCACUCACUGGUUUGUAAUACAGGGGUGGCAAUAACCUAUCCUUCAGGGUUGUUCUGGGACUCCAGUUAAAUGAAAGGAUGGGAAAAGGCUAUAUUCAGGCUUUGGUGUUUUUUUUUUUUUUGUUACCUGUUUUAGUAGGAAAAACCAUUAGGUUAAUGGAGGCCAGAAGGCAAGUAGGUUGGAAACUGGCAACUUUCCAUUUCCAACCCAAUAAAAGAUUAACCAUCAAGUGGACACCUCUAUGUAGGAGGACCUUUGCACAUGCCCAUCACUAGCUAAGGGACACCCACAGCAGCCAACCCAAGCAAUUUCCCAUACUGAGGCACUGUGGAUACUUAAUCCACAACUAAGUAUGGGGAAGCUGGCCUCCAAGAUGCCAUACAGUUCAUAUUUAAGAAAAAGAGUGUUGUCACUAAGUCCUUAAGAAAAAUGAAAGAACUAAGAGCCAAGAGUUCUGGAUUGUUUUCUUGUCAAUUAUUAUCUGGGUGAUAGAUCAUGUUACUACUUGGGUCCUCCCUUUCCUGAUUCAUAUGUGGAGUCAAUUCUUUCAUAGAAGCUUCAUGGUUUCUGGGGUGGGCUGGGGUACAAAAUGAGGGAAUACAUGUGCCAAGUGUUCUGAACAGAUAAAAGUACCAUGUAAAUUAAUGUGAGGUUGGAAAGAGUUCUCAUUGUUCAACCAAGAUUGAAAUCACAUAUUCACGUAUUCCCAAGGUCUGUCUUAGAGGGUCUACAAUGUAAACAUUACCCAGACCUCAGAAAAGUAAUUUCAAUUACCAAUUUACCUGUGGUAAGUGAAGAGAGAAGUGAUGAGUGCACAAUUAAUUAUAAAAUUCGCUGAGUGACAGAAAGCCUUCUGAAGGUAUACGGCACAAGGAUACGAAGGAGGAAGAAAUUGGGGGAGGUUCAAAUGGCCUUGGAGCCCAAUCUGAGAGAUGCAUAGAUUCCUACACUUAGAGGUAAGAGGAGCAGAGGAGAGGAACUUGAAUUAGGGAAAGGAUUUCAUGACCAGGACAUCAGGAGGAAUUUCUUUGCCUAGAAUUGCUGGUGAGACACACGGCCGAAUAAGGGGAGGAUGGUUAGGAAAUUUAUGAUCUGAAUAAUGUCNCAGGCGAGCACUCCACCUCUAAGCCCCAACCCCAACUCCAAGGUGCCAGUUCUUAUGUGCUUCUUCUUACUCUCUGGGAAUCCUGCCCAACUUCCAUAUGAAUAAGCCCAGAUUGGCAUAUGAGGGAUGAGAGACCUUCUGGACCAGAACUGAGCCAGCCCAUUUGUUCUACUCUAGAGAUGUGGUAGUGACCAGGCAAGAUCUUCAAACCCACCUACCCACCCUGUACAUGACUGCUGAUGUAGAAAGAAGCCCAGCCAAGACCAGAAAAACUACCCUGAACCCAGCCUAAAUUGCCAGUCCGAAGAACUAUAGCAAACACAUUGUUCAGGCCAAAUGAAACACAGCAGUAACUUGAAUCCAACUCUCAAUGAGCAAGUUGGAUCUAUUCUGUUUUCAUAUUCUCUCUCCGUUAUCCACAGACCUGGCUGGAAUCUACUUAGAUUAAUUCAUCAUUUUUUUUUCUCCUGGGAAAUUAUCACUUUAUAACUAUUCUAUGUUCACUCUUCCUAUUUCCCCAAUCCAACUACACUGGGCAUUUCCUCUUCAGUUCUUAAUCUGAGACUGUCUCUAGUUAUUAAACCCCUAGUGUUUACAAUAAUGUAGGACUUGUCUUCCACAUACAUCCCUGUGAUAUCCAUGUCCCCCAUCCAUCUCUGAGGCUGAGCUUUCAGGGACUACAAUUAUUAUCAUCUUACAAAUGAUGGCUGCAAUGGAAAAGUGCAUGGAUGGUUUAUUGUCCUUGGGAACCUUCUCUCCAUAAACUCAGGAACCGUUUUAGGAGGUAAGAGGCCACCAGUAAGCGUCCAUCAAUUGUGAGUUGUUCUACUUUAGAUAAAAUGGCUGUUGUCAUUCAAACCAUUCAGACCUUUCAUACUCUACCUUCUGAGUCCUCUAUCCCUUAUGCUUGUUCUCCUGUUCCUUUGGCUACCAAGCCCUUAUCAGGAGGAGUGUGUGUGUGUGUGCGUGUGUGUGUGUUAUAUGCAUUUGUGUUCCUUUUCCUACUUUAAUAUCAUAACCUUUUUGUGUGUCCUUCUCAAUAAAUUCUUUCUAUGUACAGUCUUUGUUUGGUUUGGCUUUGUUAAAAACCAUCCUAGCAUCUGUGAUAGAAUAAUUUGUAAGUAAAGAUGGUGGUGGUGGUGGUGGUGGUGUGUGUGUGUGUGUAUACACAAUAAAGUCCUACUGCUAGGUGUCCCCUCAUUAGCUUUCUGGACAGUGUUUCUGCGAAUUACAUUUUAUAUUGAAUUUGAGAGUGAGUGCACUUGUGUGCUGAAGCUCAUGUCACUCUUCAAGUAAUGCCUCCUGUUGAUUUAUAGGACAGACCAUCCAAUAUUUGAAUUUUGUUUUAAAGGCACAUUACCUUAACAUGGAAGUCUUCUCUCUUUUUCAAUGGCUGAUUAAAAUUAAAUUCAGAUUGUAGUUGAAGAAAUAUUAUGAUUGUGUUAGCUGAUUAGUUACAUAUUUAGACAAGACUGAAAUUAUUAAUUAUAUGACAACAAUCCUGAUUCUCAUUAAUGCACCAAACCUGCUCCCAGGAUGCAUUUGAAGGGAUGUCAUGACAUGAUGGAGGAUGGCUACUUGCUCUGUUACUCCUGUUUUGAUCUUUAUUAGCAGAGUUGGUUUUUCAUCUUCAUACUAGAAGGAUUGGCUUUUUCACUCCCCCUACCCAAGUGUUUGUGUCUGCAUUUUGGUAUUCUUUUUUAAAAAGCUUUUGUUUCAGUUCUGUAAAACUGAAAUAUAUAUAUAUAUAUAUAUAUAUAUAUAUAUAUAUAUAUAUAUAUAUAUAUAUAUAUAUAUCUUACUGUGUGUAAGAAUUUCUCCCAGUGCUUUGCAGAGAUGAAACUGCUGCUGUCUGUUGAACUCACUUGGCCUGAACCAAAAAGCUGCUCUCUUCUUCCAACAGAGAAAAAGAGCUACCUUCCUGAUCAGAAAGAGGAGAUAUAAAUAUUAGGCCCUUAAAAGCUGAUGUGAGCAUUUGCAAUGUGAUCUUAAAGAGAGAACCCCUCCCCUUUUAAAUUAGAUCUUAGAGGGGGAAAAAUUCGUGCCGCAAACACAUAAGGCUGUAAAAAGGCCAUAGAAUGAGUUGUGCCCACAGGGCUAUGACAGGGUGGCCUGUGGUCAUUUGGGGGCACAUGUGGUUUAGGUGAGGGGAGCAGGUUGACUUUUGGGUGAGCUAGAACAUAGAUUCUUAUAUGCUAUUUUUCCAGGCCUUUAAGCCCUUAGUGAGACCAGCCCUGUUUCCAACAGUUCUGGGGAAAUGGGAGAGUUAUUUGGGCUGCAUGCUUUAUUGACUAGAGACCGAAUGGGGCCGCAGAUGUCAUAAUUUCCCUAUUAUCACUUUGCUGAGCACUUCCUGGCCUCCCUUCAUUAUCUUGCUCCACAUUAGCAGUUAUAAGUAGCCUCUUUAUGGGAUCUGAACACUGUUGGCAGUGCUUCUGCUUGCGAGGACCCAGUGAGAAGACACAGGAGCACAGCCUCUCUCUCCGAGUUUCCACAGGGGCUCAGAGAGGAACACUCUGCUCCCCCUUCUUUCCAGACUGAGGGGCAUUUCCUUCCUCAUAACAGUAGGACAAUGACCUUAGUCCCCUGUCCCUAGGACAGAAGGGAAAAGCAUACACACUGGAAGUGGGAGUCCAGAGCAGGGCUGUUGUGUCCUACCAGGAAAAGUUCUUAGAGACAUGUACAGUCUUGGAGGGCAAAUGCAGCCCAGGUUGGCUUCCCAGAAGCAUGUGGAUAAGAGGCCCUGUGGCCAGCAGAGCAGUCAGGCAUCUGCUUUGUAUUCAUACUCUUGAGUUGCAGUCAUAUUGUCAUGCAUCUCUUCCUGGAGACUUAUUUAACAGCACCUUAAAAGAUAUUCGUCUCUGUGGGAGGCUUCACUUAGCACAGAAAUUGGGCAAUUCAAAGCAAAGAUUUCUGACAAAACCCUUGAUAACCAUAGUGCAUAUAUCUUAUCCUCUUCAUGCUAUUACAUGUGUGUAUUUUGGGGAUCCAAAUGAGCAUACGGAGUUUUAUUUUUCCUCUAGUCAUUGCUGGUAUUGCAUAUCGUAUGUAUUUGUGAACGACUUUUGUUUUCUCUAAAUGGUGUCCCCUCCACUCCUAUAUACAACACAGAUGCCAUGGAAUUCAGGACCUCAAACAGCUCCUAGUUCACAGUCAAGUUUUGAAAUAAUGGUCAAAUGUGUAGAAGACGAAAAAGAAUAUCUUCCAAUCACGCUACGUGCAGUGAAUUUCAUCUUGAUGUAUGUGUAGAAAGCACCAAUGAAAAAUAAAUUAAUGAGCAAAAGGAAGAUUCAUAGAGGAAGGCAAAUGGAGGGAAAAGAGGAGCGAAAGAUUGGAGAAAUGGGAACUGAAACGGAAUAAGUCAAAUUCCAUGCAUGUAUGAUUUUUGUCAAAAUUAACCCAACUACUAUUAUAACUAUAAUGCUCUAAUUUAAAAAAAACACAAAAAUAUUUUUUGAGACAUAUUACAUUUGUUAUUUCCCUGCUUUAACUUAGAAAAUGUGUUAUUAACAAGGAUAGUAAACAUGUAUCAUUGAGAGCCCUACCAUAAAAAAAAAAAGCAUAUCUUUUCCUUACUAAUCACUAGUUCAUGGCUGAGGCCUCUGUAGUAAAAGACAGAUUAUAAGAGAAAGAAUAUGAAUUUAUUUAGUACAAAUUUUAUGUGGUAUAGGACUCUUCAGAGUCACAGUCUAAGUGACUGUUUUUCUCCUACUAAUCUAAAUUUAGAAAGCAAGGGGAAAAAAUCUUGCCCUCCUCUUUCUACCAGACCCUACAGGCAGAGACCUAAGGAAACUGAGCUUGGUGAGAAUUCUCAGAUUUCAGCAGCUUUCUGUCAGGUAUUCCAGGAUUUUAUCUGCAAGCUCUGGAGCAAGUGCGAUAUCUCAGCCUUCCCUUCACUGUAACCAGAGACUGAAGAGGAGGAAGGUUAUUUCUCCACCUCUUAGGGUCCCUGCCUGGAACCAAAAAUAAAAAUAACACAAAUUAACAGGAGAAAAACAUGCACAUUUACUGGAUGAAAUUUGAUGUGACAUGGAUCCUUCAGAAGGAAAGUUAGGAUCAAAGAAACAGGUGCACAUGUGUGCAUUAGUGCUUGGUUUGAUCAAGAGUGGUCCACUGUGGAGGAAGAAGAUUGGAAAACAAUCUUCUUUGCUCUAAUGCUAAUAAGCUGGGGUGGGGGCUUUGCAGGGCUUAUUUCUUUUCCAUGUCCCUAAGUUUUCAGACACAGGAAUAGGGAGGGCACUCUCAUAUAAUGUCUCCUGGUUUAUUUCAGGGAGAAUGUCAGAAAAUUCUAGGUUUUAUGAUCUGCUCCAAGGGAGAAAGAUGGGAAAAGAUCAGAGACUUUCCUGCUUCUGCUGUUUUAUCAAAUUCCCUUGUCUUAAAACAGUACACGAAGAUGUUCUGAGCCCCAUCAAAUGAGUGAGCAAGUGAACCUGACUUUCUUAUGCACCAGCCAGAUAAGUGACAUUUUCCCUGUCCUUAUGCAUGUGGAUCAGCAGAGUAAGUCUGCAUGGCUGCCAUGAAGAUGAAAUGAGCUCCUCUCAGCACAAACCCUAAGGGUGCCUAACUUGUAGUAGUUAGUCACUUAAAUGUCUGAGUGUUUUUUUCCCUCCUGCCUUUGUUUCCUUCCUCCUGGACUUCUAAUAAGCUGCUAAGGGAAUAAGGGGUGUAAAUGUUCUGAAAAAUGUACACAAAUACAUGGUGGUUUUAUUAUCAUCUAGUGGAUCCAGACAGGCAAGCGGAGAACUACAAUGGUUAUAAUAUGGCCCAUUUGAAAGACUUCCCAUUCUCCCCCAGGCAAAUAGGCAAGAGAAGCACAAUGAAGUCUGCAUAAUGGUCCUUUUGUUGGGGCAGUGGGACCCAGGAAAGCACAGCAUGAACUCAGGCAGGUUCAAGAGCUUAGCUGGAGGGCCACGAUGCCUGACCACCUGUUUCGCUGGUGAUAUUUCCUUUUAAAAAAUAUUGAUUGGCCAUAAUGAGCAUCCAGGACUGGGAGGUGUGUCUGCAUCCUCUCUAGAAAUUCAUGCUCUGCUAGAGCUAAACCAGCAAGUUUCAACAAAGUUGCAUGUUUAAAAAGCUCUUGGGAAGAAGAAUAACUAUUCAUUUCAGUCUACUUUCCAGUAGCAUGAUUAUAGACUAUGUAGGGUAAGAACGUAUUUGUAUGCAUGUGUUUGAGUGUGUUUAUGGGGAAUAAAGGGAAGAAGGAGAAAGCUUCGCUUCAGGGAGAGUGAAGGGUCACACCCUGACUACCGGCUGUGGACAGGCAGAAAAUGGAAAGUGGAGUGUGUACAUGGGAGACUGAGAAAAAUAAAAAAGCUUGAGCUUAUAGAAAAGGAGUCAGGACGAGGAUUCAGAGGCAGAGCAAGCCAAGUUGGACACAUCAACAGCAGGGAAGCAGAGAGAGAGGCAGGGUGAAUGCACACAGCAGGGGCCUUACUACCUCCUGGAGGACAGCAGGAUCUGUAACCAAGACCAUCCUCUGCAUGGGGAGGGGCUCUGAGUGUGAGACAGACAGCAGAUGCUCACAGCGGGGAGCAGAGGCCUCGCCACAGAUCUGAGAAAGCCAAGAAAUUAGGGAUAAAAAGACCUGGUAGGUCACCAGGGCUCCUCACCUCUGCUUGUGCCUGAGUUCUUUUGUCUAGCAUGUAUCUUUAAAAGUCUCCUGAAUUAUGCUCCCUACUCCUUAAAUGCUUUGCUAGAAGAUGAGGUUCUUCCCCCUCCUCAACCUCUAGUUUCUUUUUUUUUAAUCACUUUUAAAAUUUUUUAUUCUACUUUGUUAUAUAUGACAGCAGAAGGCAUUACAAUUCAUAUUACACAUAUAGAGCACAAUUUUUCAUAUCUCUGGUUGUACACAAAGUAUAUUCACACCAUUCAUGUCUUCAAACAGGUACUUAGGGUAAUGAUGUCCAUCUCAUUCGACGUUUUUCCUACCCCAUGCUCCCCUCCCUUCUCCUCCUUCCCCUUUGCCCUAUCUAGAGUGUCUAUUCCUCCCAUUCCCCCCCCUCCCUAUCCCACUCAAAUAAUCAGCCUCCUUAUAUCAGAGAAAACAUUCAGCAUUUGUUUUUUUUUUUGGGGAUUGGCUAACUUCCCUUAGCAGUAUCUUCUCCAACUCCAUCCAUUUACCUGCAAAUGCCAUGAUUUUAUUCAUUUUAUUGCUGAGUAAUAUUACAUUGUGAAUAUAUACUACAUUUUCUUUAUCCAUUCAUCUACUGAAGGAUAUCUAGGUUGGUUCCACAGUUUAGCUAUUGUGAAUUGUGCUGCAAUAUACAUUGAUGUGGCUGUGUCCCUGUUGUAUGCUAUUUUUAAGUCCUUUGGGUAUAGACAGAGGAGAAGGAUAGCCAGGUCACAUGGUAGUUCCUUUCCCAGUUUUCCAAGGAAUCUCCAUACUGCUUUCUAUAUUGGCUGCACCAUUUUGCAGUGCCACCAGCAAUGUAUGAGUUCUGAAUUCAUACAGAAUACAUAAAGAUUAGGAUUUAUAAAAAGAGAGAGAGGAGAGAGAGAUCCUGAAUCCAGAAACACACACCUGUUUGGCAGUCAUCAGGCAGCAGGGUGUAGAGAGGUGUUGGCUGCCUGAGCAAGAAGCUGCCGUGGUUUCCCGCAGGGCCUUGUCUACAAAGGUAAUGAUCCACACAUUUCCAAAAAGCGAUUUAGAGAGUUAGCUUGGUUGUGAUGUUUCAUGGAGGGGAGGAAAGGAAGAAGGGAUGAGAGGUAAACACAGUGCAGAGAAGAGAUAUUGCAGGAGAUGGAGAAGAAGGAUGGGGAGUAAAGAGAAUUGCUUUGAGGGGUACAGGGUGAAGAAUCAGGCUGGGGAGGGGGCAGAGGAGAUUAUAAAUAUUUACCCCAUGGUUAGGUGGCUUUCAGCUAGUACAGUGGUUCUCAUUUGGGGGAGAUUUUGUUCACCAGGAGAUACUUGGCAAGGUCUGGAGACAUUUGUAGUUGUCCCAACUAAGGGUAGAGGAAUGUGCUGGACAUCUGGUAGAGGGCAGGAAUUCUGCUAAACUAACUUAAGCACACAGGGCAAACCCCACAACGAAGAGUCAUCAUUGCCUGGAGGUCAAUAGUGCUAGGGUUGAGAAACCCAAAGUAGUAUGUAUAUGCACAUUCAUAUACAUAAAUAUUAGUUACCCUUUCUCCCUAUGUAGUACACUCUGAUACUCUCUCUGUUCCAGCUUAUUCUGUCAUUAAACAGUGUUGAUCACAGUCUCUAAUAGAUUUCUUGAUGCACUAAUUGCAAAGCACUGUAGAAAGGGACAGAAAUGGAACAAAAUUCCCUUGCAUGGUAGUAGGUGCCUAAAGUCCUGUUCUAUCUCUUCCUAUUCCACUCUCUGUCUCCCUCAGUCUGCUCCAGGAAUACUGCCUUCUGCAGGUUCUUGGGAUUUCUGUCUAGGAUGUGCCUCUUGUAGCUCUGGGUAUACAUUUGAAUCUUGCUUAUAAACUGUAUGUCUCUCCUUCUGGAGAAUAGGGCUCCUGUGUGUGUUGCUUAUCAUUUUAUCCCAACUGCUUAGCACAGUGCCUGGAGUACCACAUAUGUCACUCAAAUAAUUGCUGGAAACUUCAGGAUAAAUAAAUAAUAAAUACCCUUUGGACAAAGUAAACUAGAACUUUCAAUAGGUCUUCUAAGUGGGGUUUGGAGAUCAGAAUAUUUCUGCCUAAAUAGAAGAUAAAAGUGAAUACAAGGGACGUGGUUAAUACCUCUUCUGUCUGCUUUUAUACCAUCUCUUUUUGUUUGAGCACUACUGUUUCAAAGGACAGGCUGACCCUUUCUGUUCUAGGAGCACCUGAGAGGUACUGGCAUUUCCAGUGGCUUUCCCUAUCCACAGUAUUGUGUAUGUGCACAUAAUUCAUGGGUCCUAAUGAAAAAGAUGGGAAAUCCUUCCUUUUUUCAGGGUAGAUUUAGACAAAAUUUAUUUUUUAACAUUUAUCUCCUUUUGAAUGUAUCCUGGCAAAUGAUCCCUUGACUAAUACAAGGGCAUUGUUAUAAGUCUUGCUUUCUCGUUCUACUUUUAUCAUUGAGUUAUUGAAUUUAAAGUGGAGGAAGGUCUGGAGAGAUGGCAUGCAUAAAGUCUUUUACAGACAAGGUAUCUGUCAAAGGGCAGUCAGGGCAUAUCAAUUCCAGCAAGUCUGACAACAACCUUACCAGUGAAGUUUUAUUAUUAUGUCUACUCUCAAUAUGAGAGAACGGGGCACUGAGAAUCUGUGCAGUGUUCAAGUGAGACAACAAAUAAAUGGCAUAACCAGAACCCAGUCAGGGUCUCUGACUCAAAAAGCAAGAUCUGGAGAUGCAGGUUGGGCAGUCGUCAACAUUUAUAUAGUACCUGGAGCCACGGGAGGAGAGGCCAUCAGUAAAUUAUGUAGCAUGAGAAGAGAAAGCAGUCUGGGAAAGACUUGGUAGACAUUAGUGUUUAGAUCCAGGAAGAACAAGAUAAACCUGAAAAAGUUAACCGAGAAAGAGGAGCAGGGCAGGUGGAUGGGGAAGGAGGAGAUGCAUAGUACAGAGCCCAGAGAGGAGAGCAUCGAAAGGGUGGGAGUAAUCCAGAAGGUCCCAGUGGACAAUAUCUUAAGGAUUUGACAAUAUGGGGGCCAGGGGGUAUCUGAUGAUGUUGGAGCAACUAUUUGAGUCAACAGAUUUCUGUGAGUUGAGAAAUGAAUGAGAGGUAAGAAUUCAGACAAUGAAUACAGCUUGACAUUUGGUCGAAGAGGAGAAGGGUGUAAGAUGACCAUGAGCUGAGUUUUUUUUUUUUUUUUUUUUGCUAAUUUUUAUGAUAAGAGGAUUGUGUAAAUAUAAUUGCUAUCAGUCAGUCCCAGAAGAGAGGGUUGAAAAUACAAGAAAAUAAGGAGGGCAGAGAUCUUCAUCCCCAGAAUAAAUAAGGAUGUGGAGUGAGAUUUAGGACAACCCUGAUAUGAAAUAUCAACUGUUUAAUUUCUAUAAAUUAUAAUCACCCACAUUGAGAUAAAUCUCACCUUUUUUAGAGAGAUACUCUCUCCUUUCAUAUAAUUUAUAGAUUUCCUUUAACUCAAUUUCCUUGUAUUUGUCUCUGUUCUACAGUAAAAUCUAAGAUCCAGGAUGUGGUAGGAUGUUAAGAUCCAUGGGGGCAGAAAUGGCCUGAAAGUUUAGACAUAUUUUUUCCCCUUGAAACAAUCCUAUUUGGAAAGCAGAGUGAUGCUAAGGCAUAUCUGAUAUUAGUAGGAUUUUAAUUCAUUUUGAAAUGUGAGAAAAGAAGUCAUUAAAAGUGGACUUGAUUGCACUGAACACGUAAUAAACCUAAGGGCACAGAAAGGGCACAAAGUUCUCUCUUGAGCACGCGAGCCUCUUGAACUAAGUAUACAAUAUAGCCUUCCUCUUGACCUUUGCCUCUCAGCUUGAUAAUUUUCAAAUUAGAAACCAUUAAUACUAAUUUAAAAAAGAAGAAAGUCCUGGAUUGGAUUCCUAAAAUGGAAACUUGAUGUGUCUUCUCCUUCUCCUCUCUCAAGUCUCUCAAGAGUGUGGGGCCGUGUGUCUGCCUUGCUCUCUCACUAGCUCAUCCCAACUGGCAGAAUGACCUUGCCGAUGCCCGGAAAAAAACUAGCACACAACAUGCACUGGCCUAUUUGCUGGUAUGACUCAGAGGACUGAAAUCCUCCCUGCAGCUACCUGGGCAGAUCAGCUAGUCUUACAAUCUUUACCUUUUGAGAUGAACUUUCUGUUGUACAGAUCACAUGCUGAUCCUUGAAACAAAUACGAUGAAAAUGCUACAUCUCUUCUAUACUCAUGAAAAGUCAAGUGCCUCGAGACCAUGUGGGAAGCAUAAUGAAGGAGAGGACAGCAGGUACCGGGCAGAAAGUGGGACUUGAAGCUUCAGUUUAUAAUUAGGUGGCAGUAGAAGAGAGGGAAUGCUCAAGGAUAUUUAAGAAAGAGAGGGCCAGGUUUAAAUUUUUCUCUGCCACUGACUGUCUGGAUGACCUUGGCCUGUCACUUAAGUUCUAUGAGCACUGGCUUCCUCAUAUGUAAAAUACAGCCUUUAUAGAGCUGUGAGGGUCAGGUGAGGUCAUCUGUGACCAUUACCCAGGCUGCCCAUGGUACCCCAUCAACACUCAAGAAAUACGGAUGCACCUCAAUUUACGGUGGAGUUAAGUCUUAGUAAACCCAUUGUAAAUUGAAAAAAUUGCAAAUUGGAAAUGCAUUUAAUACACUUAAUCUACCAGACAUUGUACCUUAACAACAUGGUACACUGUAGAUUUUCGAUUGUUUUCCUCUGGGGUGGUUGACUGGGAGGUCCAGGUUGAAGCCACCACCCAGCACUGAAAGAGAGGAUUGUACUGCAUGGAAUUCGCUUGCGAAAAGAUCAAAAUUCAAAGUGCUUUCUACUGAAUGCCUACUGAUCUCCUAUAUUUUAAGUUAAGGACCAUCUGCACUAGGUUCUCUAUAUUGACAUGCAACUUUGUACCCAGAUUAUUCUCAUACCCAGUUCUGUUUGAGUGAACAAUGCUCAGGUAUUAUCUAUAUGGUGUUGUUACAAGGACCCAAGGUGAGAAAUAUGGAAGGGGAAUUAGGAAGUGAGAACAGGAGGUGAGUUUGGUUUGGAGUAUAUCAAUUUAAAAAUGCCACCAAGACUUUCAAGAAGAGAAAUAUCAGUCAAUUUUGGAAAUAAUAUUAACAUAAAGGUGGUAGUCAUUGAAGGGAGUUGUAAUGCCUGAACUCUAAGGAGUACCAUUUUUAAAUAGGGCCAAUCUGAGAAAGAGGUGCUCAAGGAGAAUAAGAUAAAAGGUAUGGGGGACUGUGGUCACAAGUAUCAAAAGAAGGAGGAAUUUCAAAUAGCACGGAGUUAUUGACAUUGCCAGAUGCAGCAGGGCAGCCCAAUGAUGCAGUAAAGAUGUUCUUUAAUCCUCUUAAAAUACCGAGCUCCUUGGUGAGUUGAUGGAAGCAUCCAAUGAAACAGGAGGGGCGGAAGCCAGAAUACUGUGGGAAGAAGGGAAGGUUUGGAAGUGACAACAGGAGUGUCAACUACUUUCUUAAUAGAGAAAGCCACAGAAGACAGAUUAUUGGAGGAGGGAAAGGGACAUGGGGAGUGGGAGUGAGGUGACAGUAAGAGAAUAGUAGGGAGGGUAGAUAUGAUCAACGCUUGACUCUUAGGGUUCUGAGUUUCCUGAGUACCCCUGACCUCAUAGUACAUUGAAUAUCACAUAUGCAUGUAUAGAAAUGUCACAGGGAAACCCCAUUAAUAUGUAUAAUUAAUAUGAUUAAAUAAUCAUGAUAAUAAUAAAAAGAAGGUCACAACUGUAGAAGGAGGUAGAAUCAAGGGUGAAUUUUAUGUUCUAGAAGUCAGAGGCGUGAUUAUGUCUAUAGUCUUAGGAGAAGGAGAACUUGGAGAGAGGAAGAGGUUGAAGACAGGAAAAAGAGAGUAAUUUGGGGUGAAAUGGAGAGAGAUGGAAAGGAACUAGAUUAAGAGAACAGGAGGAAAGGCAGACCUUAAACCAGAAGAGAAUGCUUCAUCCUCUGGGAUUCGAGGAAAGGCGGUGAGGAUGGGAGUGGGCAGAGAUUGAGGUAGAAAAGGGUGGGAAUGGGCUCACUUCUCCAUCCCUUAUCUUUACCCAUCAGGGUGGGAUGAAAUUUUGGAAUAAUCAUGGAAGGUUUUUAAGAUCUUUAAUGUGCUUGGGGUUUUUAAGGUGUUUCCUCAGCUCUAGGUCCCUUAUAUUUGUCCUUGAAGGGAACAGGAGAACUCCAUUAUGCCUGUGUCCUUCUCAGCCUCUGAGCUAUGGCUUCUGUACCCUUUACCUGGUUUUUAGUUAUCUCUCUUUGUAGCCAACUUUAUGCACCUGGGGAUGUGAUGCAUUUGGUGAUUGAAAUCACGUGGUCUUAAUCCUCAUGAAGUUUUCAGGCUGGUGAAGGUAAUAAUAACAAGUCUACUAUAAAAGGCAAACGAUGACUAAGACCUAUGAAAUUAAAGCACAGGGUAUGAUGAUGUGGUCCAGGAGGAUCUGAAAAGUCAGAAAACUUUUAACCAGAGGAUCAGAGAGAAAUGUGACAAGGGUGGGCAGGCCAGCUGCGUGAUAGAGCUGAGGGAACGCCUCCCAGGCAGAGGGAACAAGUUGAACACUUGUCUGAAGGCAACAUUGAGCAUGAUGCCUUUUACAAAUAAAGCCAAUCAUUUGAGCGAGAGAUGGAGAAAGAAAAGAACAUGAAGUUAAUUGAGAGAGGGUGACAGAAUCCGGAUCAUGCUGAGCCCCAUUAGCUAUAUUAACACUGUGGAUUUUAUGAGUAGAAUGGGAAGCCAUCAGAGGGUUUGGAAUGUGGAGAGAGUUCAUGUGAUCAGUUUUACUUCCUGAGAGAUUCCUUUCGUAGCUUGAGGAAAAUCAUCAAAGAGAACCAACAGGGGAAGUAGAAGCAGGGAGAUCUGCUAUAGACUCUGCAGUUGACCCAAGAGAGAGGAUGGGAACUUGGUGGCAGGGAUGAUGGAGAAAGGAGGACUGACUUCACACUUAUUUUGGGAGGUAGAAUCAACCAGGUUUAGCUGUGGAGAGAAAAAGCUGUCAUGGAUGAUUCUUAGGGUUCUGAGUUUCCUGGGUACCCCUGACCUCACAGUUCCUUGAAUAUCACCAGCCUAUCACAGUAUAGCAUUUUUACCUUUUUAUAAAACUGUUGCUUAUGAAUCUAUUUCUUGAUUCAAUUGCACCUUUCCAUCUGAAUCAUUAUUCUCUGUAUCUUCUAUGUCUCUCUAAAAGCUUCAAGGAAUGAACCCAUUUUACUUUCUAAGAAUAGUUAAAAAGAGACACAAGCCAUGUUUUGCUAAUUCUUUGUGAUCUUAAAUUGUUUCACUGUCUGAACUUAGGCAAGUACCUUAGUCCCCUGAGCCUGAGUAUCAUUAUCUGUAAAGAUAAAAAAAUCCUGAAUAGAAACAUCAGAGGUCUAUCAAGGAUACAUUAAGAUAAUAGGGGAAAGUUUUUCAUCUAAUGAGAAAUUAUAUUCUGAAGUCAGUGCUUAGAGUGCUUAUGAAGUGUUCUUUAAUAUAAUCAAAUAUAUAGAUUGAAUUUCGUAGUUAAAGGAAAGUUGUGGAAUAACAGAACAAAUCAAUUUGUGUUGAGAAAAUAUUCAGAUAUAUUCAGGAUGUAGGAUAUAAGAAAUCAUUUGGUCUCUUAAACAGUCAAUGUCAUGUGGUAAAAAAGAGUAAAGGUAUAUUAACUAAAUACAGGGUAUAAAAUUUUAUUAGAUUUUGGUUUGGGUAAAAACUAGUUCUAAAAGUUACGUCAGGGACCAUUGGAAAAAUUUGAAUGUGGAUCAUAUUAGGGAGUUAGCAUUAGUUCAGUAAGGCAGGAUAAUGGUGUAAUGAUAGUGUGGAAGCCUCAUUCUGAAGUAUUGGGGUUGAAGUGAUCUAAUGCCUGUAAUUUUGUAGCACUUUAAUAGAAAUAUGAAUAUGGAGAUAAACAAUUAUGGCAAUAUGAGAACACUUUCCAUACACCAGAAAUGGAUUUUCAUCAUCCUAUUCUUUCAACUUUGUUUAUGACUUGAAAAUCUCAGGUUGAAAAGUUAAGCAAAAAGCAAAAAAUUGAAUGGGAACAAAAUUAUUUUUCAUAUAACCCAGUGAGGAAAUUCAUUAUUAUUUAGGCCCUAUGUUCUAUGGAGAACACUAGAUUCACACUUAUCCUAGGAGGAUUCUGACACUAUUUGAAGCACUGGGAAAUGAGAACCAAGUCCACUAGACCUGGGGUCCCACAUCACACUUAGGUGGAGACUGGUGCUGCUCACAGAACAGCAUGAAGGUCGGAAGCACUUGCCCUAUGUCAUUGCUAAAUCCCCUUUUGUAAUUGGUUUUGCCUCCAUGGUAUGGUUGGCUCCACUAUGGAUUCCAUAUAUUUGGGAUGCCACUACAGUAUGAUUUUUUUUAUUAGAUACUUCACAACACUGUAUUCAUGAUAAAAGUGAUUUUAAUAAUGCAGCCCUCAUCAUCUCAGAUCAAUGAGUCACUGUCCUUGUAUUCUGUUCCCACUGACCUGCCUAAUUUUGCUGCAGUAUCUACUUCCCACUCUGUCUUCUUUUUCUUAGAAACCAAAUGCUUUAAUUUUGGAAGAAGGUGGAAUCUGACCAUAUGACUGUUUCUGGGUCAAGUCAUUAUGGGCCAAUGCUUGUGAGUUUCCUGAGGCAGGAGUGGAUCGAGGUGGGGGCUGAAGCUUAUACUGUUGAAGCUCUCUUUAAGAAAAAGGAUACUAAAUUGCACAUACAAAAAUAGAUGUAAAACUGAAUGUUUAUUUAGAAUGAGAAAAGAAAUCACAACAAAUCACAGUUAAAAAAAUCUGUCAAGAAGGUUCAUGAAUGCCAUAAGAUCCAGAAAAAAAGAAAUAAUCAAAAAAACAUAAUUAACUUCUUGACACUUACUUAUAAUACUUUUCCCCACGCAUACAUUGGCUGUAUUCUUUACCUCUUCAUUUAAUAACAGUUUUGGAAUAUUAUUGUCUGUAGAGAUGAUGAAAAGAUAAUCCCUUCUUUCCUCCAGCCUGGCUGUUUGUAUUCAUUAUUGAAACAUUUGAAAAAGUUUCUUUCAUCUUUAAAGUUUGUUAUUGGUCAUAUUGCAUGUAUUAUUGGAAUAAUUGUCGAAUUGGGGAAAGCUUAUAUUUUCUUUCAGAGAUGAGCUAUAAGACUUCAGGUCAUUUUGAGCUUUUGUGUGCAGUUGACUAAUCUCACAUUCUCUUUGGAAUUGACAAAAAUUUAUUAACCAGUUUGUCAUCAUUGAUAUUAGGAGCUUUUUGUUGGUGCUGAAAUUUUAUCUCACUAGCCUGAGUGAAUCAGUGCAAUGGGCAGUAAGAGUAUUUCUUCAAACCCUUUCUGGACCAGGAUGGCAGCAAUUAGUCAAGGAUGCACAGAAAUGACAAUAAGCCACAUAAAUCUCUUCUGCUGAACAAAAACUAAAUAUAUCCUCAACUCAGUUUCUAUCUUGCUGGACACCAGAAGUAUUCCUGACCCCUCAGAUAGCACUGGGUAUGGUAUCUGAGAAAUGGGAAAUUGUGGCCUCCAAGGGGUCAGGAAUAGUUAGAGAGGGCAAGAGACAACAAUGGAAAAACUACAUGAUUUUUGCAGAUUUUAUAAAACUAUAUUGCUAGGGCCUCUGCGGUGUCCAUAAAUAAAGGCCCUGGAGUUAGCACUCAGCAGCUUUCUGAUAAACCCUAAUACACUUGAAGUAAACUUUUCUCUAUUUCAUAUAACCUUACAGCAUCUGGUGGCAUGUCAUGCUUGCAGUGGGUUUUUACUAGCUGUUAAAAUUAACUUAAGUUUCAGUUGGAUUUUUGGGAAUGUCAUCUAUAGUACCAUACAUGCUACUUAAGAGCCUCAAAUAAAAUAAGGCAUGAAUAAAAUUUCUCAAAUAUCAUUAUUCAGACUUCUCUCCAUAUAACUCACAUAUCUCUAAAGAAUCUUCUGGUGGCUUUCAAGCCUGGCUGCACAAUUGACUCUCCUGGAACACUUUCAGAAAAAUAACAACGGGUAUGACACGAGCAAUGGUGUUUUUAAAAAGCUCACCUGAUGAUUCUGACGUUCAGCUAGAAAUUGAUAUCCACUAUUCGAAGGAUUGAAUAUUCCUUUAUUUUUUUUUUGCUUAAAUGUCAAAAUAUUAUUCUACUGCUUCCUGGACUCCUUUGAAUGAAAUAUAAAGAUAGGAGAUUCAGGAAAUGCUAUAUGUACAUAGCACAAUAGGCAUAUAAAAAAUAGAUCUUUGCUAGAAAUGAACUAUCCUGCUAAAAAUUCCUGUUCCCAUAGAAUGCAGUACCAUGAUGUGCUGACAGGAAGAGAUACGAACCAGACUCUGUGAACAGCUCCUAAUUAAAAAUAAAAUUAAUUUUCUACCAAGCACCCUCUGUUGUACUUGGAGGAAAAUGCAAUUUUGUUCAUAUAAUAAAGCAUACCAUAAAGGGGUCAGCUACAAAGGCUAUUUCAAACAGGAAAGUGUCCAGCAUAAUAAAUCCAUUCUAGCUCAUCGAACCCCAUGCUUUCUCACUGUGGCUCAGGUAACCUAUUGAGUUGAGCAGAACAGCCACCUGGCUGCAACUCUCACACCCAUUGAACUGGAUCAUGCAUUACAGACAAUUAAUACCUGCUUGUUCAGGAUGUCCACACUAAGUGUAUUGUCUUUGUUUCUCCUCAAAUGGCUAAUGUGGAAAAUAAAUACAGCAAUUUUUAUGACGAUGGAAAAAAAAUGAGAAUUAAGAACUACUCCUAAGUGAGACAUUUAAUGCUUCAAAAGUUAUUAUUGUCUAGAUACAGACUUUACUCAGUCUUUCCAGAGAUUUUUUAUUUCUGUAGAUAAAUUAGGAAGAUUCCACAUGUUUCUCUCUCAGGGUUUUUUCAUUCAAACCUUUUAUAUUAUCAAUAAAAUCAUUUCACACAUACAGUUAAAACCUUAUUGUACAGGUUGAGUGUUCCUACUCUGAAAAUAAGAAAUCCAAAGUGCUCCAAAAUCUGAAUAUUUUGGGGCAUCAACAUAAUGGCCCAAGUAAAAAAUCCCUACCUGACCUCAGGUGACAGGUUGCAGUCAAAAUGGAGGCACAUGAAAAAUACUAUAUAGAAUUACCUUCAAGCCAUGAGUAUAAGGUAUAUGAAACAUGGAUGAAUUUCAUGCUUAGACUUGGAUCCUGUCUCUGUGAUAUCACAUUGAUAUGCAAAUAGUUCCAAAUCCAAGCACUUCUGGUCCCAAGCAUUUAAGACAAAGGAUACUCAACCUGUAAAUGUAUAGAGUCCUCUUAAUCCUGAAAAGUCAUCUUGUUCUAAUAUGAAGAACAUUCCUCAAAUGUAGAGCUGGCCCACAAUGUUCUGAUUUUACAGGAUAACUGCUGAGUAGCUUAGCUACUGAAAGGUUUGGAAGUGGUUUCUAGCUCAAGAAUGAUUUAUCACAUGUUAGAAUUUAUCACAUGUUAGAAGGCAACAACAACAUAAAGAAUGUCAAACAUAAAUAAAUUUUGUAAUAAAAAACCAAGCAUUUAAUGCAAGAGCCAAAGCAUUUCCUUCUAUUUUGCUCUCUCAGAGCUCAUUGGGCAGGAGUAGGAAGGUCUUAAAGCUGUAAUGGUUGCAUCUCUCAUCAAAUAUAUAUUCCUUGGAAAAAGGUAUUAGUGUUGCAAAGUAUGUUUUUAGCUUAUAAGAGAGACAGCUUCUCAAUUUGGGGAAAAAAGAGAAGCCAGAAGAACAUGGUAGCGCACCAACAACAUGUAUUCUAAGAAUCUAACAAGAAGAAAUGAAUUUGAUUUAAAACAAGAGAAAUUUCAGUUCAUUGUAAGAAAGAAUUUCUGGAUGAUUGCUAUACUACCUUGAAUGUGCUGGUCAUUUAGAAUGGGAGGUGGUGUGGACAAGUCAGGUUCUUGAGUUCUCCACUGUGGCCCAGCAUAAUCUUUCUUACAUAUGGUAGACAUGGCUGGGUGUGGUGGUACAUGCCUGUAAUCCCAGUUACUUGGGGGGCUGAGGCAGGAGGAUUAAAAUUCAGAGGCCAUACUUAGCAAUUUAACAAGACCUAGUCUCAAAAAAUAAAAAGGACUGGAGAUGGAGCUCAGUGGUUAAGUGCCCCUGGGUUUGAUCCUAGACCUGUGCUUAACACUUUACAAGUUCUUCUUUUAACUUUCAGAAUCUAUUACAUGGAAUGCUAGAUUUUUAAAAUAUUUUUUAUAAUAUCUUCAUCUGUAAUUUUAUUUUCUAGAAUUUAUUCUUCAACAAAUUAAACUAUUUUGCAUCACAAAUACACACACACACACACACACACACACUAUUCUGUUUGCUUUGCCCAGUCAUUGGACAAACUCCUUCCCCUGCCCCAUGAAACCAACCUUGGCUUAACAAUUUCUUCAUGGAGUUUCCUCUGAUCUUGAACUGGAAAGAUUAAUCACACUGCUAUCAGCAAGCCUUCUGAAUUUCUAAAAUUUCAUAAAUUCUGCUGUAUGUUUACAAUUCUGUUUUAUUACCACAGAGUGUAAGCUCCUCUGGAGCUGGGACCAGUUGCUUUUUGGGAGGUCCAUAACAUACACUAUGAAUCAUCAUGAAAAGAGACUCAAUAAUUUUUGAGUGUCUUCCAUUCACCUUCACUCUUUCUGCUUUCUCACACUGGGUCAGUCCCCAGGAUCACACAUGAACAAAUGAUUCUUACACAAGUCCAUUACCGCAAUUGUAAUUUUGCUUGGAUACAAACAAAGACAUAUACAUUUUUAUUGGCUAUGUCUACCUUUGCUUUUAUCCAUGAUUCCCCAGAAAGCUUGCCUGGAAAGAUGACUAUAGCCUUUGGUGGAUUAUAGAGGGCCAAAGAGUCUUUCCAUUGAAAGGAAGAGUGUAAUCCUUCUAUUGGCUCUAGGCUGCCUUUACUGCCCUUUUUGUCCAAUAGAAUAUAGAAGAAGUGGCAUUUGGAACUUCUGAGGCUAGAUGAGACCAUGCAGUUUUCUCCUGCCUCCCCUGGAAUAACCUAAGGACCCCAACCUGUCAUGUAACAAGUCCAACUACCUUGGAACCCUUCUGCUAAUAGCCUACAUGUAAGUUUUCUGAUUGACAGGCUCAGCUGAACCUCAUCCUUCUGACCAUCCCCAAGGGGUCAACAAAUGAAUACAUCCUUCUCUGGUCCUCUAGAACACUUUAUCUGCCAACCAAAUACUACGUAGCAACCUGUUAACACUGCAUAAGACCGAAGCAUCACUGAGCUGAGUCCUGCACAAAUUCAUAGUCCUACAAAUUGGCAUAAUACUAGCAAAAUAGUCAUCAUCUUCAGUUGUUACAUUUUGGAAUGGUUUGUCACAUGGCAGCACAUAGAUGGAACCCAGGCUUUCCUCCACUUCUGCUUGACCACUCAGGACCCUUUCCAGUUCAAAUGCAGAGGGAUUUCUCCUCUGUGUCCACUGAUGAUUGAAUUAGUGUACUUCUGCUGAUUCCUCUUCUCUAGGCCUUUCUCAGAUAAUGGACUCUCUGCCAGACUGAUUCUUUAAUGUUUCCAAACUUCUAUUUCCUUCAUUCUUGUUCUUCUAUCCCCUGACCCCGCACUUACACUUCUGUGGUGCCACUGUUGCAGGCAUCAGUACUCUCUGAAGGUUCUCUCCUCUCUCUUCAAGAUAGCUCUAUAGAAUCUUCCAGCAGCUGAAGUGUUAAGUAUGUGAACAGCUAAUUAAAAAAAAAAAAAAAACUUGGACAUCUAUGUCCCUGGAGGACUUUAAAAUAGAAUGAGCAAUAGAUAAUGACCUAUUGGAUGAGUGUUUAAAUAUUCCUUAUCUCACAAUCAGAGGGCUAGGACAACCUCACAUAAGUCCUUUCUUUCAAAAGAUUCUAUGAUAGAUUCAGAUUCAUAGAACCGGUCACAGCCAUGAAUUAUGUGAGCUAUAGAAUUCUUGAAAACAUAAUUCAAUUGCAAGAAAAUAACUGCUUGAAUCACGUUUUUGAUGUACAUUCAAAGAAUUUCAUCUUUGGGAAAUAUGUUUGAUUUUUUUAAAGAACUAUGAGUUUCUUCCCACUAUAAUCAAUGUUUAUCACUAUAUUGAUUUCUUUUCUAGCAUUUUGAACUCCAUUGUGUUUUUUUAAUCUAUGAACAUUCCUAAACUUUAUCUGCAGUUUUCCAUUUCUGAUGUAUUUAAUGGUUGCUUAAAAGUGGUUUAUAUCCACCUUGUAUGUAAAAUAAAAGAGAGAGAAUCCUCUUUACAUUUUUGCUUUGGUGACUAAUCUAUGCAUUUCAGAAAUCAAUGUGCUUCAUUUCUCACAUCAAUGGCACCAUGAUCAUCUUAGGGUGUGGGAAAGAUUUAAAUGCUGCUUGUCCUUCUCUGAGGGUCGUCCCCUCAAACUAAGUGAGAAGAAGCAGGGAGGCCAAGUAUAAUCAUUUAAUAGCUUGUUGUGUUGACCUUUAAAGUGCAGUCAGUUACCCCAGUUAAACAAUUUUUAGCCAAAGCAAUCAACAUUGCCACUCAUUUCUCUAUUCCCAAACUGAGCAGGAGUCAAGAAUACUCCACAUGUGAUAUGUUGAGCAGUUAAAGGACAGCGUGGGUUGAUAUAUCCUAAAGCAGCAGAAUCAGAACUAGGGCAUGGAAUGGGGAUGGGAGCAUUCACCGUAGAAGUUCCCACAUUUAACAUCACCUGCCACUGUUUGCCAAGAUGGUGGAUUUUGGUUGCUGUAAUUGACUGACCCCGCAGCUACAAAGUUCUUAAAUUCUGAUUCAAAAUGGGGUUGCAAUCAGGUUGGAACAGACCCACAGAGAGAUUCCUUUGUCUAUCAGUAUCACAGGGAGGAAAGGGCAUGCCACAGAGUGUCUAAGAGCCCAAAGCCGUCACAUCAGGAGAGCACCCAGGCAGCAAUGCACUACAGAGCUCAGAACAGCAGAAAAAUCCCCCAAAUUGGAGACUCCUGAAAAAGCAAGAGAAAUAAAAACUAUUUUUUAAGAUGACUGUUGCCCCAGGUGAGGAAGACAAGUCAGAAAUCCUACAGAAGACAUCAGCCUUACGAGGGAGAAGAGUAGAGCCAGACGGUGACACUAUUGCUGCCUAUGCACUUAAAUAACUGUGUGACAUCAAACAAGUUAUUAUUCUUUUCUGCCUCAGUGUCCUCCUCUGCAAAAAGAGUAGAUCCUGAGCCAAUUGUGAUAGAUUAAACAUAUACAUAUAGAUUUAUUUAUUUCUAAAAACAGAAAGUACUCACCGAUUAUUCAUUUUUAUCCCUUUUUAGAAGAUUUCUUUAGUCUUCUUUGUUAUUUAUAUGCUUCAGGUCUUCAGUACAUAUUUUACAGAUACUCAAUUAUUUAAUUGGUAAUGUUACUUUAUCAGCCAUGAUAAUUCUAAAUCUAGAGGUUAAAAGUGAUGAAAUUCUCUUGUAUUAACUGAGAAAAUAAAGCUCCCAGACAACCUGGUCAUUUCUGCCUAUUAAACAGCCUGACAGGUGAGACCAUAAAGGGGAAGCAGCACUAGUGGAAAGCUGAAGUCUGCUUCCUAAAGGGUAUGAUUUUGCUCUUUGACCAUUUACAUAAUAGCCAAAUGAAAUGUUCGAGGUCUAAUAUCCCUAAAGUUAAUAGGUUUAUGGCCAGAGGUAGAAUGAAAAUUUCCCCAGAAUGCUUAAAAAAUGGUAGCUAUUUAUUUUCCAGCUAAAUCAUCAAUACCACAGGAGCAGGAACAGGGUCUUUCUUACCCCAUAAAGACAAGGUCUAAGAUAUGCUAGAUAUGUGUUAGAUGAAUUUGAUUUUGCUUAGUCAAUACUUAUUGAGAAUCAAUUAUAUGACAGGCAUAGAGCUCAGUGGUGACAAGAGAGCCAAAGUCCCUUCCUUCACAAAACUUAUAUUCCAGUGGAAAAGAGAUAAAGCAAGCAAAUGGUAGGUAGCUAGAUGAAUGGAUAGAUGAUAGAAGAAAGGUAGAUGUCUAAUGUGAUGCUGGAUGCUGAGGAUUACUGUGGAGAGAAAUAAGGCAGCACCAUUAGACAAUGGAGGUUGCUGUCUUAGAUUGGUGGUAGGGACACCUGUCAGAAGAGAUGAUUGUUGAUAAAUGAGUGAAACCAGGCGAGAGACAGGAUGUGUCUGGGGAAGAGUGUUCCUGGUAGAGGUAACGGCAAAUGCAGUGGCCCUGAAGAGGAAGCUGGUUGGUGUGUUUGGAGAGUGGAGGAGCUGGGGUGGAAUGGUCCAAGGCAGGGUGAGCAGGUCGGGACCAGAUCACACAGGGCAAGGUGAGCCUCCAAGGGACUUCAGACCUUACUCCAGGUAGACUGGGGAGCCACCAGCAGGCUUUGAGCAGUGGAAUAAAAUGGUCUGAUUCUUUUGAAAAGGCUCAUUGUGGCCUCAUGAAGCAUCAUCUUUUAGGGGGAUGAAUGAACGUGUGAAUGGAUGGACAAAGGACAGAGGCAGGGAGUAGCUAAGCAGAUCACAACGAAUGCUAUCUGCCAAUCACCUUGUUGCUUUAAUACUCACGUGGUCAGUUUCUUCUCAGGGUGAGAGGUACAGAGAGAGAUGGAGGUAGCCUUUUCUGAAGGACCUGCUGACUUCCUUUCCAAGUGUUGCAGAACUUGGAGUCUAUAGAGUAGAACCUCCUUAGUCCCAGGGGACAUGUUCUAAGAUCCUCAGGAGGUGCCUGAAGCUCAGGAUCAUACCUAGCUCUUCAUGCCUUAUGUUUUUUCCAGUACAUACAUACCUACGAUGAAGUUUGACUUAUAAAUUAGAUGCAGUUGGAGAUUUACAACAGCAGCUAAUAAUAAAAAAGAACAAUUCUAACAAUAUAGUGUAAUAAAAGUUAUGUGAAUGUGGCCUCUCAAAAUAUCGUACUGUGCUUGUCGUCACCCUUCUUGUGGUGCUGUGAGGCCGGGCAGUCUCUACAUGCUGAGGUGAAGAGAGGCGAAUGUCCCAGGCAUUAUGACACGGUGUUAGGCUGCUAUUGACCUUCUGACGAUACAGAAAAUUGGUGAAUUUUUACCUCAGGAAUUUUCCUAUUAAUAUUUUUGGAACGUGGGCAGAAACCAUUGGCAGCAGAGCCGCAGAUGAGGGGAAUGACUGUAAUUGUCUUCUAUCGCCCAUGCAGCGUUUCAGGAGGAUUUCUUGGGUUUACUGUUAAGUUUUUAUGUUUUUCAGUGCAUCUAAUAAUGAACCCAUUCACAAAUCAUUUAAAUGAGUCUAUGAGUUGGAUGACUGGGCUCUAACAUGCAGAAUGGUUGGUCUGUUUAUUGUAUAAAUAUUAUUAUCUGGUACUUACCAAUCGCCUCCUGAGACAUUUGUCCCCAAAUGCUUUUAACUAAGAGGAAGAUAAAUAAAAUGAUCGAAGAAAGUUGGAUAGAGCUUGACAUUACAGAGACUGAGGUUGGCUCCCCUACCUCAGUGGGUACCUUCACUGCUCUCUAGGACUGUGGAAGGGGCUGAAUUAAGUAAAUGAAACUAGUAUAACAGCCUUCUAGGAGUUUUUAUAUAUGCCUAGAUAUGUGAACAAGAAACAACCUGGAGCAUAGGAUGUACCCAAGUGGCUGGAAUCACAGUUAUUUUGUAAUUUGAAUACAUCCUGAUAAAGUAGGAAAGCAGUCUGAAUGAAUAGUAACUUAGAUGGUCUUAUAUCAAUGGCUAACCUCAGUUUCCUCAUCUUUAAAAUGAGAAUAAUAAUACUUACCCUGCCUCCCUUGUCCAAUAUGUGCUGGAGGCUUUGCAAGACUCUGGGGAUAUAAAAUAAUUUAAGUUAUUGUCCUUAAGAGGCUUAAGGCUCAGCCAGGUGUGUGAUGCACACCUGUAAUCCCAGCAACUAGGGAGACUGGGGCAGGAGGAUUGCAAGUUGGAGGCCAGCCUCAGCAACAUAUUCAGAACCUAAGCAACUUAGGGAGAACCUAUCUAAAAGUAAAAAAUAAAAAAGAGCUAGGUAUAUGGCUUAGUGUUAAGCACCCCUGGGGGUUCAAACUUCAGUACCAAGAGAAAAAAAAAAAGAGGGGUUUAAGGCUCUUUUGAGAAGAAGAUAAGCCAAACACGAAUUAUACAGUAGGUUAUUGAGUUGGCAGAGUUGCUCUGGGAGGAUAGAGGUGAUUGGGGAUGGAAAUAAGAAAGUUUUUAGAAUGAAGUAACAUUUGAGGUGAUUGUUUAAAGCAGGGUUAAGAAAGGUUAGGAAUAAGUAGGAGGAAAAAAAAUAAAAGAAGAGUGGUAGAAAAAUAUCCUCUCUACCUCAUUAAGAAACAAAGGGAAGGACAAAGAGUUAUGAUGAGAUCAACAUGGAGAGGGAGAGAGAUUGGGUUUGAGCUAUGAAUAGCUGAAAUUAUAAAACUGCAAAGGCUUAAACAAGAUGAAGGUGCAUUUCUCUCUCAUGUAACAAUUGAAGUUGGGCCCAGGGCUAGUAAGACAGUUCAUGGUAUCAGGGACAUGACUUUCUUCCAUCUCAUUGUGCCACAUGUGGCCUCACAUUCUAAGUCACACUGAGGUCCACUUUGGCUGCUCCAACUCCAUCUCUGAGCACCACACUCCUGUGAGCUGGAUGGGGUGGAGGAACAAAGGGGCUCUUUCUAAUCCAGGUCAUGCUUCCUUGUAUUCCAUUUAUCCUACAUCUAGAUGGAAGGAAGGUCUAGAAAUAUAGUCCUUAUUCUGGUUGGCCAUUAUUUGCCCAGGUAAAUGUGGUAGUAGCUAUGUCUAAAGCAAAUGAUUAUUGGGAGACCCUUCAGGUUUCUAACUGUGUGUGCCUCUGUGCAUGUGUGUACAUGAGUGUAGAUGUGUGCAUUUGUUCCCAUGCAAAGGUGUGUGGCUGUGCACAUGCUGUAAGAUGGGGGAGAAGUGAAGAUUGAAUAGGAAGAUAUGUAAGAAGUUACUUUGCCAAUAAAUAAAAGACUCUACAGAAUUAGAAUAUUCUAGGACAUAUUUGAUACAUAUUUGAAUGGCUGCCUAUUUAACGUUUAAAAAGCUAGCCCACUUUUAGAUUGGUGGUUAGGGACACCUGUCAGAAGAGAUGAUUGAUUGCUGCAGUCUGGCUGGGCACAAAUCACGAGCCACUGAAGCAGGAACAAACUUUAUUUCUGAACUCUACCAGCACACUUCACACACGCUCCUGGGAAAUCUGCCGACCGCCACGCGGCUCCUCCAGGAACCAGCAACCGGAAAUAUCCCCUCCAGAAAUCCCUCCUACUGCACUUCCCCAACCAAUGGGAACUCUCCGGGAAUCCCCAGGAAUCCCCAGGAGAACUCCAAAGUAGCGUGAGAACUGCAAAGUAGCCGCUGAGGCGGAUAGUAAUGCCUCGCCUGUCAAUCAAUACUAUUGGCGAAAUGCCAGGGGCCAUUCCGACUCAGCUGUGUCUCUCAGCAAUUGAUGGAUAUAAACAACUAAUAGAAUUGGUUACUUCUCACUGAUGUUCCUGUAAUACUUUAUAUUAAUAUCAUUUUAGAUGUUUUUCCCCUACUAAUAAUAUAGGUGUCUGUUUCUCUAGGCCAUAAAUUCAUUAGACCAUAAAUAAGGUUUCUUGUGGGAGAAAGCUUAUUCUCCUCUCUAAUGUCCCCCUCCCCACCCUGUGUGAAAGAAGUCCAUCAGGGUAACAAUUCUGUGACCUCUCCUCCCCUUGAGAUGAAUGGAGGGUGAGGGAUGAGUGGCUUAGCCGAGAGAACUUUGGAUAAGGAACCAGGCUCACAUUAUUCUAUCCCUCUGCUGUCUCUCUGGAAAGGCCUGUCACCAAACACCAUGUGUUGAUUUUCCCAUGUCCCUCUAAACACAAGCUCUGCAGUUUAGGGAAUUAAUCAAUGUCAUUGCAAAGGCAGGGGAUAUUAAGAAGGAAGUUACAGAGGUGAAAUCUGGGGAAGAUAUGAACAUGGAGUUGCUGGAUGGAUAGAACUGAACUCUGGGCAGGAAACUGGAUCCCCGAGGAAUAUCUCCUUUCAGUUUCUGGCAGCCUAUGGUGCUUUGAAUCCAGAACAGAAUCUGUUUGUCAUUUUACCAUAUAAAUAUUUAUUGAGUAUCUAUCAAGUACCACACCCUGUUUUCGGCACUGGAGAUGUGGCAGUAAACCAAGAGAUCAAAAGUUCUAACUCUCCUAGAACUUACCUUACAGAAUUGACAUUUACUGGGGAGAGAGAUAAAAAAUAAAUACUUUCACACUUUUGAUAAUUCAAACUGACCUGCCAAGUGGACAUUGGUGCCUUGGGAAAAACAUAAAGCAAGGAAAUUGGGUAGGUGUGCUGAGAUGGACCAGGGAUUUCAGUUUUAAAUAGGGCGGUCAGGAAAGGCAUCACUGAGAAGGUGAUGUUUGAGUAAAGGCCUGAGGUGGUAAGAGGGUAAGCCAUGUCAAAAUCUGGGGUAACAGCAAGUGUGGUUUCCAUUGGUUUAAGGUUCUGCUUACUUUGCAACCUUCUGGGAUCAGUGGUACUAGAGAAUGAGAAUCAGCAAAGGAGCUGGGCUCUGUUGAUGGGAUCCUCAUGCAUGUAGAAAGGACCCCCGAGUCUUGAUAAUGGUGGGGGCUUUUUCUUCCUAUAGGGAAGUCCUGCACACCCUGUUAGCAGUGAAGCCCUCUGGUUUAGGAGAGUAAAUCCCUAGGGGAUGCUGUGGGGAGAGAGGUCCUUGUCCCCCAGUCCCAAGACUUCUGUCCAUAUAAAAGGACAUCACUAAGUGCAAUUCUGCUGGCCUCGUUGGCAUCCUCCUCUGACCCAGGGAAAGGAAGUGAUUUGUCCAGCCGUAGGUUUGAACAAUAGAAGAUUUGGACAUGUGCACAUGGUCUGCCUUUGCUUCUUGCUUCCUCUUAGAAUCUGGAUUGUGGGUUUUGUGUUCUGAAUUAUUCUCGGCUAUAAUGUAAACCUUGCAGCUCUGUUGAUUCAGAGCCUCCUGUGGCUGGGUGAUAAUCCUGCCUAAAUCUGGUGGUCAGCGUUACAAAGAAAUAAUAACUUGAAUGUCCUUUUUGACCCCUUGGUCUUAUUUCUCAAUUAGUAAAACAUUGGAUGGGAUGAGAAAUGCUAGGUAUUUGGGAAUUCUUGCGCCCCAAGGUUUUAUAUCUAUCAUCCACCCACUCAUCUACCUACCUACCUAUCUACCUACCUACUUAAUAUUAUCCAUGUAUUAAGUAGUCAGUGAAGAAACUUGUGAAUGGAUGACAGUUUUAAAGUGAGCUAGUGCUCUUAGCACUGACCUUGAGAACUCCUGCAACUUUAAAAAGUAAAAAGAGUAAUGUAACUUAGAUAAGUUUGUGCACUGUUCAAGUGGGGAGGCGACAUUAAGAAAAAGAGACCUGGUUGGGUUGGUAGCUCAAAGAUAGAACACUCACCUAGCACAUGAGAGAUUCUGAGUUUGAUCCCUGGUACCCACUACCCCCUGACCCACCACACACACAAGAGAAAGAGAAAAAAAGGUGGGGGAAAUAAAACAAACAACCUAAGUGACAGUUGUGUAGAAUCAGACUUUUUCAUAUUAAAGGCUGCAGCUUCAUAUGCACAAAUACACCCAUCCCAUUGCCCUGUUGAGUCUAAGUUUGAAAGAGUGGAUCUAACUGAAGCUGUGUGGAUUCAUUCCUUACAUAGCUACCUGGAUUCCCCAGGGCAAACUUCACACUCCUGGCUUGGUCUUUAAUGUCACUCUGUCCAACUGGCACUCUCAAAACAGGAUGUGAGGUUUGGUUCACAAUUUAUGUCCUUGGGAGGGGAGACAGAAAGGGAUAAAGGAGCUGGAAGUUCUAAAAAAAAAAAAUGAUAGUGGAUGUGAUCAUAAAUAAGGAGCAUUCUCUAAGUGAGAGUGUGAUGGGAAGGUUUGGAACGCUGCAGAGUUUUGAGAGACUGUGGAGAGAUGGGAAUAUUUGAAAGACGUGCUGCUGAGGCCUGUUUGUUACCUUAACACCAUCCCAGGGCGUUCUUGGCUUUAGGUUGCUUAGUGACUGCAUUUAAUUUUUCCCCCCUCUUCCUACAUAGUUACUGAUGAGCCUCAGGGCUCGUAAUGAUGAGAAAAUCAAAAUCGGAAUCAUGAGAAAAACAGGUUGUUUUUCUUUUGUAUUUGCUAAGCACUAGGCUCAUUCCUGUUUGUACACAGAAAGUGUAGCAUCAAGAGGUACAAAAACAAGAGAUACCAUAAUCCUCAUUUUGGUUCGUUUGAGUAGUUGAAUUAGGGUAUAAUGGGAUUUGCUUAUAUUCAACUCAGUGAUAAAUGUGACACCCUAAACCAGCUUGGAGCUUCCUUGUGUAAACAAAAGACCAGAGAAAUUCUCAUUAGGAUGAACUGUACUUAUUAAACACUAUUAAAUUUUGAGGUAGAUUUAGAUUCUUUUCUUUAGAUUGUAAAAGCCCUUUACUUUUGCCUCUUUUCUGCUCCAUUAUCUGUUGAAUUCAAUGCCACAGACACAAAAGUGCUCAAUAAAUAAACCCAGAUUAUGACAGAGCUGGCUAUAAAAGCAAAAUGGUACUCAAAAUUGCCCAAGUAAGUUGGUUAUAGUUAGAUUUUUUUUUUAAAAGGCCAUAGUGGCAUCAUUCAGUAGAAUCCCCAGCUUCCCUUAAAUGAUGACAAAAAGUAGCCAGUGCUGUCUUUGUAAUGCCUGUGAGUGUCUAGAAUCAAAAUGAAUUAGGAGAUAAGGUCCAGGAGACUCAGUGGAAAGCUUUGUCAUGAUUGGAUAGAGGGUAGCAUAAUUCUAAAACUUUUCCAUGAAGAAUCAUAUAUAAUCAUAUGAUAAGCUUUUCUACCCUUCUCAGAAAGGGCACAGGUAAACCUGCAUUAACUUGUUGUGUGAAAUAACAAAUUACCUUGUCCCAUGUGGCCCAUUGUAACUGACUUGGUGGGCUUUGCCAAUGUCCCUUCCCUGAGAGUUGAACUUGAAAGUUUCAUGAAUGAUGGCUGAUCUGAGACUCGUCACAACAUUCCUUACGUAGAGUCAGUAACCCAUAAAAUCUCAUCCCUUUAAAAAAUGACCAGUUUUGAACAGAUUUGUGAGAAAGUGUCCUUUAUUUCUGUAAAAUCAUAUUACUGUGCAUAGGGAGGGAGUUAGAAGAGAAACCAUCCUGAAAUAUUAGAAUCGCCAUCUUUUUUGAAGGUUCCAACUAGAAAUAAUUAUACCUCCCAUACUUAGGGACUCUUUGUUUUUGUAGAAAUUUCAUUUACACAGAAGAGGAAACCAGGUAGGAUUUUUCCAAGUUGUGCUCAGGGAUUGCUUGAUGAUGCCUCCAAAAGGCAGGAGCUUGGUUUAUCGGCAGUUUAUGGCUGGAUUUUCAUAGCAAGCAUAAAAGAGUUGAAGCAGCAAAUGAUUUAUGAGUGUGCCUGAUGGGUGGAGGAUGGGAGGGAGGUUAGCUUCUCUAGCAAUCUGCAAACCCACCUGCCCGUACAAAACCAUUUCUCUGUGUGCGGGGAACGACCAUAUAUAUCUUUAUUUUUAGUAUUUUCAGAUUCUGGCCUCCUUUAUUGAUUCACUUUUACCCCUAAUCAGAAUGUUUCUUGCAAUUCUUCUGUCCUUGGAUGUGCUUUGAAAGCCAAUUGAGAGUGAGAGAAAAAUGAGCAAAUGCUUCAAUUACCAACAGUACAUCAGCUCCACCCUCUCCACUCUUUGAAAAGAAAUUUCACUUCUUAAAUUCUCAUCAGGUUAUCUAGAGUCCUCUUAAUACUUGGAGACCAGCCCUGGGCCUGUGUGGCAUGCUUUAGCUCUUCCCAUUACCUUUCACAAUGAUGCUUCUUUGUCCCUCAAACUCCAUCGUAUGCAAAUUUAUGCUAAUGACUAUGUGCAAUGCAAAUAUUUCAAUUUGGUAUUUAUAAUAGAGAAACCACUGACCAGCAGACCUGAAAUUGAAGCUUAGAUCAGCUCUCAACUGUGAGACUUCAUGUGCUUUACUUAAGCACCUCUGUAGAACUGGGAUCCUAAUAACUGUCGUGCAGAACUAGGGUGAAAAUUCAGUAGUUGAAAAGCUUGAUAAACAUCACACAGGCAUUAGGAAUAUAGCAGAAAGUGCUCUCUAUCUACCCAAAUUCUUUCUCCUCUUCUUUGUGCUAAUGGAGUUAUGUCUGGAUCUAAUCCGGGACUGUAUUUUGCAGCCAUCCUUGUGCCUAGGAGUAACCUAGGGAGAAAUACAUACCAUCUUUGUUUAGUUGUCUUGCAGUAUGUCUCUGGUCUUGUAUUUCAACAUCUCCCCUUUCUGAUGGACUUGGAGGGUUAUUAGCACAAUAACUUAGUAGAAUGACAUUGGAGGCCAAGUAUCAUCAGCAGUUUCCUGAAUUGAAUCCUGUGAGGGGGCUGGAGGGAUCAGAGCUGUUAGCUGAUCUAGAACACCUGCCCUGGGCCAGUGUGUGAUAGAUAGUGAUAGAUUUCUAUUUUGUUGAGCCUUUGCAUUUCCAGGUCUUUUUGUAACAGCAGCUUAGCCUGCCAUAACUGAUACCAGUAUUGUUAUUGAGUCCACGUUACUAGAGAUUCAUAGAGUAAUAGAACCGCAAGGAGCCCUAGAGGUCAUCUCACAAAUAAAAAUAACACUUGGAGAGGAAACAAUUUUUCUUUGGUCCCAAAACAAAUUAGUUACAAAACUGGAAUAAAAUCCAAUUUUCAUUUCAAAACUUUGCUUCUCUUUAGAGUAAUACACAUAUGGAAGCUAAUACCUAAGAGAUGGUCCAUUGCAGAACAUAUGGAUAGAUUCAGACAGUGCCCAUGUAAAGUUUUCAUAACCCCUUGUAGAAAUGGCAAAUUAGAGGGGUAGAUGGAAUUUUACCUAAGCUUUUGCACCAGGACCUUGCAAAAAAACUUUGGGGCUUCUUUUAUCAGCUGACCCUCCAAGUGCCAGAGGAAAUACCAGAAUUGCUUCUGGUUCUGUGUGAGCAGGGACUUUGGGGAACACGGCCAACCUGACAGUGGUGCUGGGUGUGUUUUAGCCACAGCCACCCACCGAGAGCUGCUGUGCUCAAAAAGAUGCAUCUAAAAUGGCUUCUCGAAACAUAACCUAACUAGAGAGAGACAAGAUUAUGUUUUUAGCAUUUGAACCAGAACACGCUCACUCUGCUUUAAAAGGUCUUGUGGGACUGAAAAAGCCCAGGGAAACAGGAGUUGCAGUUCUUAUUAAAGGAGAGAAGUAUUUUUAUUCAUUGUUUUUAUUCACAUCAGUUAAUUUAACAUGCCUUGAAGGGUCCUCUUCCAGGGUAGCAGUAUUAAAGUAGCAGCUUACUCACUGAUUAUAAACAAACAUUAGUCAAGUUUACUUACGAAAGUUGGUGCGUGGAUAAAAACAAAAGCAUUACCUCCUACCUGACAGAUGGGAUAUGUCCCAAAGGUCUCUUCCGGCCUGGUGACAAUAUGCCAUGUGAGAAACUUAGAACAGAAUCCAAACUCUUUAACUGUGACUUGCAAAUCUCUCGAUGAGCUGGUCUGUACCUACUUCUCUCUGGUCUCAGGGGCUUCUGUCUUUGGCUUGCAGCUGCGAUGCCCCACCUGGUCUUUCUGUUCUGCCACCAUGUAACAGGUUGCUGUUUCAUGCUGGAGGGUUUCGUAGGUAUCAUUCACAUGCCCACCUAUUUGUCUUCUUGGAUCUCAACUUUAAAUAUCAACUCUUUAGAGAUGUCUUCCCUGACCAGCUACCUUCCCAUUAUCAAUACAGAUUAAUAACUUAGUUAUACAUCUGCUUAUUUCUUUUCAGCUGGACAUUAGUUUCAUCUACUAGACAGUGACUUAACUAGCUGAUGACUCAUUUUGACCAUAAAAGGGGCAAAGUUCAAUUUAGGGAUAGUCUAUAACUCCAUAUUAAGGCUGAGCCAUAGCUCAGGUUGGGAGAAACUGAAACCAAGAGACUAGAAAUGCAGAGUAGGACUAGUGACCUGGAUAGCAUUACUUUGGGGUAGCAGACAAAACGGGGUGGACUCCCAAACAGAGGUCAAUCUAGCAUGGAGAGUUGAAUAAAAAGACCAAGAAGGUCAAGGGCCUGAGAAGAAGCCAGUGAAGGUGAAGCAGGGAAAGAGGCAACUUCUCAGAAGGGCUGAUGGAGACUCAUCCACGUCCAGCUCUUCAGUGAGCAUCUCCACACUUCCUGGAUAGCCAUGCCCAAGACCAUUCCCCACAACUCUGAGGGACCAGGGUGAUUAGAGUGUGUCUUGGUCCCCUCUUGGACUCGUGACUUUACCUCCCUCUGAAAGUGGUGCUUGUGUUCCUUGGGUCAGACAGCUGGAGAAAGGUUCUUUCCUCUCUUUUUACUCCUCCUUCGACCAGUUCUUAACUCUGCACAAAUCCCAGUAGCAGGAUGCUUUGCUACACAGCCCUGAUAGCUGGCUUCCCUAAGAGCAGUUUUGCACCUUUGAUCUAGAAGCUGUUUAUAAACCUUGAGCGGCCUUUCUACGUUCCCCAGAUUCUCAUAACCCUAUGCCCCAUUCAUACAUCAAAACCCUCUUCAAGUUUUGCUUCUUUUCACAAAAAUGCCCCUUGCCUUCUAGAAGGGUAACCCAGGAAUCCUCCUGGUUUGUAGACUGCCCUCUAGUGCAGAAUAUUCUCUUCAGGCUCUGCCUUUCUGUUGUUAUAGUAACAGCAGAUGUGCCUUCUGGAAUGUUAUGUUUCCUGAGAACAAUGUUGGGAGGAUCAUAAGAGAUAUUUACUUGGUCCCAGCUCCAUUUCAGAUUUAAAAUAAAAAAUCCUGCACCCAGAACUGUAUUUAUUUUCCUGAUUUCUCGACAGGGCGACAGAACCAAAUCUUGGGAAGAAGGACAUGCCUCAUGAUGGAAUCUGAUCUCUAGCAUGUUCUACUUUACUGAAGAAAACAUACUGCUAAUAAUUUAACUGCACUUCGAUUAUCAGGAUAAGUUGUGCAAUAAAAUAUGCAGAUAGAAUGGAAACUUCGUAAGUGACAAAUGAUAAAUGAUAUAAAGCAGUGGAUAAUUUUACUUAGCUUCGAUUUUAAUGUUUGUCAAAUGAAUGAAGCAAUGUAUUUAUAUGCAGAAAGCCACAUUAUCAUAAAUAUAUUUGCUAAAACAGGAAGAAUAAAUUGCGGUUAAAUUUAGUAACAUCUGAUGUUAUGUGUGAAUGUUUAUUUGUGAUUAAAUGUGAACAAUUGCUCCUUUAAGGUAAAGGUCUGCGUAUAUGUGAUUAAUCAAAUUGAAAUGAAAGUAC